rnacentral:lncRNA from 1 species
ACGGCGUCUCUACAACGAGAAAGAAGCUCAUGUUUGCGAUUAAGCUGGUGAAAUGUCUCCUCAGAGGAUUGUUAUUGCUGGUGAAGCAGUGUCUUCUUCCUGCGCCAGAUGGAAUGCAUGUGGAAGAUGGGUACUCACUGAAAGGGGAUAUUCUACCUAAUGGCAGUCUCAUGCAAGCCUGUGUCGAUUCGAAGCAUCAACUGGUAACUGGGAAACAACCAGAGUUAAAGCAUCCUUUUUUGCUAUCCUACAGUGAUUGGAGUAGGGCAGAUGCAGCACUCGGUGGGUAAGCUGUCACAGCAGGACCAUUAUUGCUCUCAUGUCUGGCCUUCCUGAUCUGUAAGAAGAGUGCAGAGGGCCAUGGCGUGAAAUAUAUGAAUGGAAGGAGGUGAGGUGAGGUGAGCUUUAUGUUCCACACAAGGUUCCUGAUAGGCCUCACUCGCCAACUCCGGUGGCCAGCUCAUUCCAACCUUCUUUUCCCUCACUCCACUACAAAGCGCACCCCCCACCUCACCUCUCUCCCUCUCUGUCAUCACCUCCCAUCGAGCCAUCGACACCAUCCAUCCCCAAUGGCCUCCUCACCCAUGCUCAUUGGCCUGACCACAUUUCUCCUCCUCACCGCGUCCGCCCUCUUCGACCAAGCCGAGUCCAAGGUGGCUCCCGGUCCUAAGCCGGCGCCGCUCAACCUCACCGGCAUUCUCGAGAAGGGCGGGCAGUACGGCACCUUCCUUCGCUUGCUGAGAGAGACGCAGGUAGGGGAGCAGAUCGAGAGCCAGCUGAACAACUCCUUCAAUGGCCUCACCAUCUUCGUCCCCACCGACAAUGCCUUCAGCAACCUGAAAGCCGGCACGCUCAACAGCCUGACGACCCAAGAGCAGGUGUCGCUGGUCCUCUACCACGUCCUCCCGAGGUACUACAGCCCAACCACCUUCGAGACCACGAGCAACCCGGUGAACACGCAGGCAUCGGGGAGGAGCGGCGUCUACACCGUCAACAUCACCAGCACCAGCAACCAGGUGAACGUGUCCACCGGGGUCAACGAGACGCCCAUCAACACCAACCUCUACUUGGAAUUCCCGUUGGCGGUGUUCUCGGUGGACAAGGUGUUGCUGCCCGCCGAGCUCUUCGGGGCUAAACCUCCCGCGUCAUCACCGUCUCCGGCGGCGACUCCGGUGAAGCCUAAGAAGAGUGCUCCGGCAGCUGACGGGCCUUCCGCGAGCGCCGACACAGCGCCUUCUGCGGCUACUCGCAAGGGAAGGAGCGUGGAACGGGUCCUGCUUCUGGGGAUCGGGUUGGCGUGCGUUGGGAGUCUUCUCUAGGGAGUCCAUUGACUGCAUGGGACUGUGACUGCGUCGUUGAUCUCUUGGGUGUCUGGUUUGCCGUUGUCAGUAAAUUCCUGCAUGCAUUUGUACCUUUUAUUUCUACCAUUCAUGAGUUAUUUUAUUUGCUCUGUUCAAAAAUAAUAUUUUCAUCAUCACUUAUGCAAUAAUGACAUUUUUGGAUCAAUAAUCACAACCUCAUAACUUAUUAUGAUAUCUUAAUUACAAUAUCAAUUGGAUGAUUAAAAGCUUAAACUGUUUGGAAAGUGUCCCAUCUAUAUUAAAUUCCAAAAACGGACAAUUAAUUUCAAUCUCUCCACUUUUUUGCCUUUCCCCUGUUCCGCUGCAACCACCAUUCACAAGGACGGAGAGGCCGCAACUGCUGUCCUCUCCGGCGUCCCACCGACCACGGCAUUAAUUAGUGCAUGGCCCACGAACACGUCGUCUCUCUCUUGGUGGAUUACCGAUCACCGGCCCAACGCACGACCCUCUCGCGCAGAUCUCUCCAUACAUUAGAAAGCAUAAUGUAUCUGUGGCGUGGACGGCAAUCAUUGAUGCAGACCUGAGGUCCCGUCCAUGACGAUCACUGCUCCUGGUCCUACUCUCCCCUUCUCCUCUCGAUGCUGCCCUCUCCCACACCAAGUUUGAGAAUGAUGAAUGCAUACAUAAGCGAAGGGCCUGUGGGCUGAUAUAUUGCAUUUAACCUCAAUAAUACUGAUCUCUCUCUCUCUCUCUCUCUCUCUCUCUCUCUUUUCCCUGACUGAAUAGUGUGUUGGACUUAGGAUGAUAGAAAAGGGAUAAAGGCUUUUCUGGCAUCUUUGCAGAAAUUGAAGGUGCUGAUAUCCACACGUCCAGCGGCUUUGAAAUAUAUUCUGCUGUCAACAUAACCAUGCAAGGAAACAGACAUGCCAUUGGUGACAAGAUCUCUCUUUUCCCCAAGGCUUACUUCCUCCUCGUUUUACUCUUUCUUUUCUCCUCCGACUCCUCUUACAUAUUUGAGACGGAGCAGUACUUUUUAUUGUGGCGCCCUGCAGAGGAAUCUCAUGUCGGAAAGGAUGUGGAAAGUGGUCGCCAUGCCUUGGGCAAGGAGAGAAUAUCCAAGGGCUUUACAAGACUUCAAAUGCUAACCUCCAAAUGCUUUGGAGUAAACAAAGAUCCCAACCAUGGAUAUCACAUGAAAGACCUGUUUGAUUGUAGUUAAUCCAUGCACUGCAGUCAGCCCGGAGGCAACGCAUCAGAGCUUAGGCUUUUUUCUAGCUGAUGUCUCCUUCCACAAGAAGAAUCAAAUCAAUGGAAAUGGAGAUGUCAUGUGCAUUCCGAGUCAUCUACACUGACGCAAAUUAUAAGCAUCCAAUAGCACGCACCAUGCAACACGAUCAAUCAAAACAGUGGAUAAAUUCCCACAAUGCUUUCCUGUACAUCGUCCCGAACAGGGUUUCAUGUGUCUUCGGUACAAAGCAACACCGACGAACUGAAAGGAUGGAUACAAGUGUGGAAAGAGAUGGAGUUCAGAGAUCUGGAAAGAGUCGAUAAGCUUGCAUGGCAUUAUUCAUGGACAAGUAUUCCUUCUCUGUCGUAUACGUCGUCGCAUGGCUAUGGAGUUCCUACAGCAUCCAUGGUGGUAGCACGUGCAUGAGUAGUCCUAAGGAAUCAUAGGACGGAGACUGCACCGAUGUUAAGUCUAAUGAGGAUUUGGUCUGUGUGAAACCGUGUAAUUAGUCCCUUAAUUCAUGCCUUGGACCUCGGAAACACACAUCGAGCUGUCUGGUACGCCACUCAUACAAUAAGCUUACCUCUUAGAAAUGAGUGUCACCCGAAGGAACGAGAGAGAGGGUUUGUGUUAGAUACAUCGGCCAAAGUCUUCUUCUCAACGUUUACUAUCCAUAAAUAGGAGUAGGAAAGUUGGCAAUUGUCUUUAGGGAAGCAGAAGGAGAAGAAAUGGCCGGAGAAGCAGUUUCAAAGGCCUCCCAACCACUAAAUCCAUGUCCUGAUCCCAAUCUUCCUCCUGUGGUCAAGAAAAAGAGAAACCUCCCAGGAACACCAGGCAAGCAUCCAUGACUAACACAUUGGAAUGGAGCCUCUCUCCUCUCUUCUCUCUUCGAUGGUAGUUUCAGCUUGACUAAGCUCUUUGUAUCAACAGAUCCUGAAGCAGAGGUGAUUGCGCUCUCCCCGGGAACCCUCUUGGCCACCAAUCGAUUCCUGUGUGAGAUCUGUGGCAAAGGCUUCCAGCGAGACCAAAACCUGCAGCUCCACAGGCGAGGCCACAACCUACCAUGGAAGCUGAAGCAGAGGAGCGGCAAGGAGCCGAGGAAGCGGGUGUACGUGUGCCCGGAGGAGAGCUGCAUCCACCAUAACCCCGCGCGGGCGCUUGGUGAUCUCACGGGCAUCAAGAAGCACUUCUGCCGCAAGCAUGGCGAGAAGAAGUGGAAGUGCGACAAGUGCUCCAAGCGGUACGCCGUGCAGUCCGACUGGAAGGCCCACUCUAAGACUUGCGGCACGCGAGAGUAUCGCUGCGACUGCGGCGUCCUUUUCUCCAGGUAUAUUAAUUGCCUCAUCUUUUGCUACGCGUUUGGAUUGAUCUAAAGGCUGUUCGCCGAAGAGGAAAUCCAAUUGGAUUAAUUGGAAGUUUGUCUCGAUGAACAGGAGAGACAGCUUCAUAACCCAUAGGGCUUUCUGUGAUGCUCUGGCUGAAGAAACCGCAAGAGUUUCAGCAGCAUACACCAUGACGAACACGACGUCGAUCGGCAGUGUCGAUUCUCUUCUUCAAGAUGGUGCAAUGACACCCAACAUAUGGAAACAUCUUUCGCCAAAUCUUAAGCCAAACAUUAUGGAUCGUGAGGUUGGUCAGCAGGAUAGACACGGGUGUUCAUCGUGGAUGGGCCAUGGAGGUCAGCUCGAUAAUGCCUUUGAUGGAACUACUGCUAUGUCUGAGAUCAACCAAGCUGGGUUGGUCGACAGUCAAUUGAGUUGGAUCCAUUUCAACAAGUUGUCGUCAUUGCCAACUUCAAACACUUUGAAGCCUCUCACGGGAAGCGUUCCUUCCUUGUUUACUUCGCUGCCUCACCGUCCUGCUCCCGAUAUAUCUGCCACGGCAUUGCUGCAAAAGGCUGCACAAGUCGGCGCGAUCUCCACCACCCCAUUCUCGGGGAGCUUUGGGCUGCCCGAGUGCCAGAACACAAGCGCCGGUGACGGCAGCGUCUUUGAUGGCUUGCUCAUUCAUGAAUUCGCUGCGUCGAACACGGACGAGGUAAAUUACAUCACAAGGAGCCGCAGCAUGCUAAGAGAUUGUCUUGGAGGAGAGACCCGGGACUUCUUAGGAGUCGGGGUGCAGACUCUUUGUCAGCCAUCAGCAAAUGGAUGGAUCUGAGCCUGCUCGAGGGUGGACGGCAACAAGAAAGAGAUGACGGGGAGGAGACAGGUGGUGAUUGAGUAGUACUGCUUGCUCUACGGGAAGACGAAGUCAUCCGAAAGUAGCAGCUGCUCCUUGAAACGGCUGCUUUUGUUUGGAGAAGAAAGGUGGGAGUGUUGGGAGACGAGGAACACCUUCCCCUUCAUUUCCAUUACUGCACUAAGCUUCAUUUCUUUCAAGGUUGUCUUUAAUGUAAGCUGGAAUUAAGUGCUUCUAGUGGCACAAUGCAUGAAUUUUUCUUUCUAAAUAUAUUUUUUUUGACAAGUCCAAAAAUGGCACAAAGUUGUCUUGGCAAGUCCAAUUAAUUUAUUUUGCAUUAUAAUUACAAAUCAAGAAAAAUAAAAUAUAUAAAAUUAGAGUAGGAAUUAAUAUAGGAAUAUUUCUUCAUAUUUUUUCCAUCAUAUUUUUGCACCACCUUUUUUUAAACAUUUCAUAUUUCUUCUUUCAUUACUUUUUAUUAAUUAUUUUGAGAAGAAAAAAAGAUGUAGGAAAACUAAACCAGAUUUCUAUUCGGGAUCCUCUCCAAUUCAAACAGAGGAUCGUCCUGUUCAAUUGGUCUCAUCAUCACUCUUCGUCCUUCCACUUUCACAUCCUAUCCAUCCAUUUAUCGCAUAGGGAACGUGGCCGGACGGUUUGGUGGAGACGAUCCCUCCCUCACCUGCAGGCCGUCUCUUUAUGUGCUACAGCGUGAUAAUAAUGAGAAGAAAUAUAACAAGCAGGUGGCCGCCGAAACAAUCAAGAAAAGCCCGACCUUGCGGAGAAACCCGCUCGAUCUUUUCUCCUCGCUUGAAUUCUCCGGAACUCCCAAGAAUCCGGCCGCGUCGAGACCGGACGAGGACGAUGGCCUGCAAACCCAUCGCCAACAGGCUCGGGAAGGAGGCGGGCAUCCACCCCGAGGUUCCGCCGCUUCAUCGUUACCCUCGAUCAGGUCUUCGAAUCUCUUCCCCGUUCUUCCCCCAGUUUUCGAUUCCUCCGACUAGGGCUUCUAAAUCACCUUGACUUCGUUAUGUUAUUAUGUUCGUGUUCUAUUUCUUUGGUUGUUAAAUCAUCCUGAAACGUAUGACUUGAAACUUCGUCCAUCAAUCUAGAGAGCAAUCGUUGGAACUAGAAAUUGUGACUGAGGUUUGCUGUUUUAAUACGUUAUUCUAUAGUCGAGAGUGCUGUGCAUGAACUGUGCCAUCUAACUAUGUGUAUAAGCGAGGGAUCGAAAUAUGUUGUGCGUAAACUGGGCGGAUCAACUUAUGGAUGAAAGGAAGAAAGGUGUCAUCUUCCUGCUCGCUAGCAUUUCCAAUUGUUACUUGAAUUAGUAACUUAUGAUUGAGAAUUUUGACCUAGAAAUAAUCCAAAUCAUUAAGGUAGUUAAGACAAUGUCUUUUUUUUUCUUUUAACUAAAGAAUGGGAAGAUAGGAGACUCAGAAUUAUGGUUUUCAAAUGAUGAUAAGAAACCUAGACAUUGAGAGGUAAGUGCAUAAAUGCCUGGCCAUUGUGUUUGUAUCUGUUGCAUCAUUUUUUGCUGCUGAUCGGAUUACCCAAUUGAUCGAAAGUAAAGGAAUUUUAACAUGUGCACUCUUGAAUGCCGAAAGAUUAUGAACCAACUGGGAACAACCAUUUUAUUGCAUUAUUCUAGAUAUAUUGAUCUUGGUCAAACUUUGAUAGUCCCUCAAAAUUUUGGUCUCAAGUGUGGACAUGUAGGUAUAUGAUCUUUGAAUGGAUAGAACGCUAAUCUGCUGAGGCUCGUACAAAUUUGAUAGGAUUCAGUCUAAUUACCUAAUUACUGAGACUUAUUUUUCCUCAAGACCAGGAGAGAUACCAAUCGUUCUAGACUAUUACUUUAAUAUAACCGGUAAUUUAUAGAACCAAUGUAGACAGUCCAGAAGUAUUUUUUUAAUUACCUAAUUACUGAGACUUAUUUUUCCUCAAGACCAGGAGAGAUACCAAUCGUUCUAGACUAUUACUUUAAUAUAACCGGUAAUUUAUAGAACCAAUGUAGACAGUCCAGAAGUAUUUUUUUAAUUGUGUAACAGUAAUAUAUUGUUGGGUCUUUUUAGUCUGAGAUAUGCAAGUCUAUGUGAAGUUCAUCGCCAUUGGUUCCAAUAGAUGUGCUUUGAGAGUAGAGGUAGGACUUCCAACAGAAAGAAAUACAUUGGCAAAUACAAGGUGUAAUUAUAGAUUACCCCCUAUAGUUAACUAUGAUUAAUUGAUGGGCGAGCAAUUUGGAAAGAACAGGAGAAGAGAAAAUCAGUAAAGUUUAUAUAAAAUUAAUAAUUUAAAAGAUAAUGAAAUUAUUUUUUUAUCCUUUCCGUUCGUGUUUUUUCGCAAGUGACAACACGUGCGAUUUUUUCCAUCGACGAAGUUAACGACGUAAGGAGAAUUGAAGUUAAAUAUUUCACCUUCGUAAGUGUAGGGAUCCCAAUGCUACUUUUUAAAGUAUAAAGACUGGAAUGCUAAUCAUAAUUAAUUAUAGAGGGUAAUCUGUAAUUACCCCCAAGUCCAAGAUUAAGGAUGUGUGUUGAGCUAAUUGGUUUAAACAGUAUUGUUUCACAUCCCAACUUAGUCUUAAAUUAAUGGUAGCAAGAGGUGUAGGUCUGGCCGGAACACUACCAGAUGUGCACCAACACUAACUAUCUGAAUGAGAGACUUUUCUCAAGUCAGGGCACAGAACAUUUUUCUUCCUGAUUAGCAUAUAGUAGAGUGUGGCAACUGAAUCAGAUUCUGACAUAUGAGAUGCUUUAACUUAUUUAACCAUUCUGAUUCUUAAAAAUAAAUUUGCAAUACUGGAUUUUCAUCUGGUGCACCUGUAAGUUUACAAGACUAUAUAUUCAUCAAUCAUAACAAUCAUAUAUAUUGAUUCAAUGGGUCAAUGGUUUGACUUAGAUGGAAAUAAAAGUAGUUAUAUGUAGUAACAGAACACUGGUUUAUGCAUGCAUUAGUUGGUUUGUAUAUACUAGUAUCAGAUUUUUGGGAAGAUGUGUUAUAUAUAGAAUUUGAAAUUUUCUCUUGAUAGCUGAGUAAUUGAUGGAUGACUAUCAUAUGGUAGACUACUGAUAAUCAUAAAUUGUUGUUCCUAGUAAUCAUAGUAAGGGGGAAAACAACUUCAACUCUAACCACCACACACCAUUUUGAUAUCUUUCAAAAUGUAUCUUUUGCAUGAGAACUUGUACAUAAGUGAAAGGGAAUAACUGUUGUUAUUCUUAUAAUGAUUUACCAAACUGGUGCACAAGAGCAACACGUAAAUAUUGUUUCGCAAAACAUAUUUUCUGAUCGGAAUUUACUUUCAAAUCUUUGAUAAGGAGAUCCACAUAAUAGAGUAAAAGAAUUAGUGUGACAGAUACAUUUUCGUAGACAAACUAUUAAAGCACUCAUCACAGUUCAUCCAUCAGGAAAAGUCAAGAAACAGAAGGAGAAAAUGAAAAUGUUACGCUAUUCUUGUAAUGACAAACAUCAUCCUUUGUGUUUAUAGAAUGAAACAGGUCCUCUGCUUUCUGGUCUUUUUCUUUGGCUUUGGUGGACAAAGAACCACCUUAAUUGCAGCAUCAAAUACAGCCUUCACAUUCUAAAAAAAAAAGAUGAGAAGUUAAUAUGAACUAUAUAAUAUAUUUCUAUUGACUAUUCUGAUUGUUUAAAAUGUUGUUAUAAGUCUAUCGGUCACAGGUGAGAUAUUUAAUGAUGGUUAUCGGUAUCUUAUAACAUUUCAAACUUGGUGUCCUUCCAAUAAAAACGAGCAUCCUAUUUUUCCUCUUUUUUUGAGUUCAAGUUAAGAACAUCGCAAUCAAUUCAUGCUAUGUAAAUUGUUAUCCCUCAGUGUCUGAAUAAUGACAUUGAGAAACUUCAGAAUUCAAAGUCUUAACAUCAAAAAGGCAUAAUAGGCUUGUUUGGAUCUUUCAUUACCUGUUGAGUCUUGGAACUACAUUCUGUGUAGACAGCCGCACCUAUCAUUUUCUUUAGCUCUUCUCCCUGCUUAUAGUCAAACAGUAUGCUGCACUUAGUUUAUGACUUGAUAAGUACCGCUUUAUAGACUGACUAGCAGUAGGUCAACUUGCCUGUGCAGUUGUGAUAGGUGUUGCCCCAGGGUGAUCAAUGAAAAAUUGCUUGUCUUCACGUAAGUCUGCACCGCAUUAAGACCAAGAUUAUACAACUUACUGACUAGUAUUUUGGAAGGUUAAACCUUCAAUUUGAAAUCAAAAGGGAAAUAGCAUCAUACUUUAAAGAUGACUUUUCAAAAGGGAAAUAGCAUCAUAAUAGGUUAUAUAGGUCAACAACUGAACUACUAAUCAACUUAUCAUUAAUUAGAUCGCCAAUGAAGCAGUGACCUUAUGACCUGAAUGGUUUGACUAUCUGAUGAAAGAUACCUCAGGUGCAUUAUAGAAAAUUCAAUUCAUGGAAAACCAUACUGGUCAACUUGUAGGUUGCAUCUAACUCCUUGUAUGCAAGUAGUUGCUUUCUUUUACUUUUUUUUUUGUUAGUUAAGUUUAUCUAGACAUAAAUUUCAAUUAAAAGAAUACAAUGUUAUUACCAAGUUUAGUCCCAACUAGCACAAUCGGCACAUUUGGAGCAUAAUGUCUCAACUCAGGAAUCCACUGCGAAAAAAAGAGAAGGUCAUGAGAUACAAAUAGAGGACACAAUGAUAUGCAUGAAAGCUGAAAGAAAACAUGCCAAGGGUAUUUAUUACCUUCUUGUAUAUGUUCUCAUAGCUGGCCUUACUGGUGAGAGAAAAUGCUAAAAGAAAUACAUCAGCUCCUCUGUAACUGAGAGGUCUGAGCCUAUUGUAGUCCUCUUGUCCUGAAUUCACAAUAUUGGAAAGCUAUUCCAUCUCAAUUUGAUUUCCUCAUGAGGUAUGAUUGAUCGAGUAUUUACUGUUUGUCUUUUAGAUUGACUAGUUAUUGUUGUCUUUUACAUUUAUACUUGAGAAUCUAAUGCUAGCAAAACUUGAUAUGAAAUAUUUUCAAUGUAUAGAAUUUAGACAAGAUGUUGAAAUGAUGGAGUACUACAUAAACAGAGAGGAAGAUCUACUACUUUUUCCAUCAAUAAUGAUCAAUUAACUAUCCCCAGGUGUUUGAUGAUAGUAAAGUAUAUACAAUUGUGGCUGGAUAUAGACGUAUUUGAACAAUUUUCCAGUUGAAAUACACUGUUAUCUUAUGCAAACUAUUUCUAGCUUUGCCAUAGACCAGGAGGACCAGAAUCUAUGGCCAGAUCGAUUUAGCACCAUAUAAGUAGGGCAAUUAAGCUCACCUGCUGUGUCCCAAAGCCCAAGGUUCACUGUGCUUCCAUCAACUAUUACAUUAGCACUGAAGUUAUCGAACACAGUCGGGACAUAAUCCUGUUAAGAACAGUCGCAACAAGAGAAAGCACAGCUGAAUUCUACCUCAUAACUAUGCAAAUUUUGCAGGUAAAAAGCUGAGCUUCCCCGUGUUACCGUCGGAAAAGUAUUGCUGGUGUAGGAGAUGAGCAUGCAGGUCUUCCCGACUGCCCCGUCGCCGACCGUCACGCAUUUGAUGAACCUUGCCGUGCUCAUCGUCGUAAUGGCACUGGUACUGUUUCUUCUUCUCCCUCUCCCUGGUGCUGAUGGUAUAUAUAUAUAUAUAUAUAUAUAUAUAUAUAUAUGUCGUUGUUCUCNNNNNNNNNNNNNNNNNNNNUAUAUAUAUAUAUAUAUAUAUAUAUAUAUAUGCGUUUGUCUCAGGCUUUAACCACCAUUGGGCCAACAAAGUAGGAAGGACAGAGAGGAAGAGCGAUGAAAGGUGGGGAUUUCUGCUGCAAAGUGUUUGAAUUUUGAAUGGGGGCCGGGGAACGUAGGGCGGACUAGGAAGUGGUGGUAGGAGAGGCCCCCUCCUCUUUAAUGAGGUGGGGAGCAGCGCCACCACCGCCAGGGGUGCACAGCUCAUGCAUGCUUCACGAAGGCUGAGCAAUGAUGGCCUGCUCCACACACCCGAUGGUGCUCUUUUGGUUUGCCUUGCUUUGGGUGCAAGAAGGAGCGCUAGGAUCAGCCAAUCUCCUUGGGCGUGAGUGUUGGUUGGUUGGUUAAGUGCGGGAGAAGGAUGGUGAUGAUGGGAUCAAGGGAGAUGGGUGGCCUCCUUUGGCUUGCUUAGUAGAAUUAAUUUUCCACCAAGUGAUCAUGAUUGCGUGGUCAUCCAAUCUUGGUGAGACCACUAAGUCCCUUUGGAAACUUGGGAAAGAAAAAAGGGGUGAAGCAACUCUUGGUGGGCUUAGGUAUAUCAAUUGCUUUUUUUAUGUGCAAAAAGUCUUCUGGACUUUUUAUUGCUCGUAUGAGAAGAAAUCCGAGUGGAAGUAUUGAGUACAUACCAUUCAUUUGCAACUAAAACUUCAUUAUAAUUGCAAGUACGAGUGAGUAUACAAAAAAAAAAAUUACGAAGUCGAAAUAUGGUUAAAUUUAAUAUCCCAGAGCAUUAUAGUCAUAUAUAAUGUGUGAUUUUAUUAAGUUUUAUUAUGAUUUUUGAUGAUAGGCAUGUAGGAAUCCGUCCUUGCCUUGCUCGCGGGUUGGGCUUUACAAUGGUUAUUGGAGGCAACCAGGUGAAAAGGCCCAGCCUCUCGACGAACAUGUGAACGGGUCGGAUCGUAGCCAUCACGGCCCGAUGCGGUAAUGGGACGCCUCACCAAGUCCUCGUAGAUAAAUGGAGGGUAGGAUGCCUGUUUUGUCCCGAUAAGAAUCCCCGUAUGAUUCAUCUCCGGCCGCCGAGAGGAUCUCCGAGAAGCGCUACGAUCUUGGAGGGGCCUCAAGGACAAGGCGCAGGUUUCUUCUCCUCCUCCUCCUCCUCCUUUCUCUCGCCAUCCUCUUCUUUUUUCUAGAGUUUCGAGUCGGUUUCUUUUUUUUUUCCGGUUGGUUUUCGAGGAAUGGCAGGCAGCAUGCGGUAAGCCUACGAAGGUGCAAACGGAGAACAACUCACGCCGCGGUUUUUGAAAUUAUUGUCGACCCUUGCCAGCAAGUCCACGACCGCCUGGUUCGAUUUCAUCGAAGAAGACGAGGAUGGAGUUGGUCCCUCGCCCUUUUUCGUUUUGUUUCUGCUUCUCUUGCUUCUUCUUGGCAAUGGAAUCUGCUCACCCCAUCGUCGUUAGGGAUUGAAAGGUAUGGAGACAGUGGUUCCUACAUCAUGUGAUUAGUGAUAAUUUUGCUUCCUUAUGUUGCCCAAAGAAGUCACUGGAAAACCUUUCCCCACCUUCUCCUCCCCUCUUUUUUUUUUUUUGUUUCCGAGUCAGAAGGUUUUGAGGGUUUAUUCUCUUUGGUAUUUGUUAAAUAUAAAAGUAGAGGGGUGUUGUUGGUACGGCAUUUCUAUGCAUGCAAAGAAACAAACAUGUGAGAUUAAUAUAUGCCAAGUGUUGUCCAUAUUUUCUAUUUUGAAUACAGCUUGACAUACUCCUGUUGGUAUUGAAUACCGGUAAUUGUUUCGAUAGGUACAAGUCAUUCAAGCUGACUCGUUCUCAUCAUAUUGUUAUCAAAUCUACCUACCAAGCUUAUCCCAUCUGCGGGGGAGGCAAAAGAAGAAGAGGGCUUUAACACGCGUCGACAGACUCUAAAUGGCUGAACAUAAAGAGUAGUUACAUGUCCCCCCAAUGGCAAGUAAAAGUCAGAUAGACAAAAGGAACAGCCACUCAACCUUUGCUCUUUCUCACAAGAACCCAAGGAAUAAACAAAUGAUACCUUUACAGGCUCCGUCUCAUGAUCUCGUAUGAAAUUCCAACAUUGAGUGAUAUUUUGGCUACCCUUUCUUUCUAUAUGGCGAGUUGGAAAGACAGACACAUACAUACUACACAUUACUAUUUAUUAAUCUCGCCACACACACUCGUCAGCUCAACUGGUUGCACCACCGAUAAUCGCAGCAAUUGCAGAAAGCGCAGCCUGCUCAUGGAAGACCGUGAACCACCCCCACUCAUCAGAAAAACUUCAUAACUUUUGUAAAUUGUCAUGCUAAUUCAGCCAUUCCAUUUUAUGAUUGAUCAUCCAAAACACACAUUGUACAUACAGUAUGUAAGCUAUACAGUACAUUAUCCACAAGUAAUGUUGUUGACUGACAUAAACGGGACAUUGUGAAAGUGUACGCUCUGUUUAAGCAAUAAGAUCAAUAAUUCAAUGCGGCUACUCCACUUGAUCCGUCGUCAUCUAAAGUAAUUUGUUGACCCAAAAAAAAAAAAAAAAAGAAGAAAUAGGUUCACAAUAGAGUUUUGUGUCUUAAGAUCUCUGAUUUGAGCAACGCUCGUCUAUCAUAACCACAUUUUUACAAACCUUGUAAUUUCUCUAUCAUACAUUUACCGGUCUCAAUGCAGGCCCAUCUUUAGAUGCCACUGCCACAUGAUGAAUAGAAACCCUAAUGGAAUAAACUCGAUGACAUAGAAAUCCUCUUCUUAUCCAUCUCCAUAUGCAUACAUCAGUGCUCGAGUGGAUCAUAUGGUGGGAUAACAAAAAGGGUAAAACUCGAGCAUGAUCCACGUACAGAUGGUUCCUAUGCACAGUUGAGCAUGAUCCACCCAUCCGCUUAAGAAUUAAUUCAUCAAGCAAUUCUAAUGAGUGAAAUGUCUGAUCACGGUAAGCAUCGUCUAUAAACUCUCGACCAUCACACAUCUCCAUCUCAUUCCCUAAUUCCCUAGUUACGCUACGACGCAUACAACCAUUUUAUUUCUCGGAACCAUUGCUCUUCAAACCCUUCCACCUUCGAAACCUCUCCCUCUACCAAAUGUGGACUCAAUCGAUGACUAUGCCAAGUAAAAUAUUGAACACCAACUGAACCAUCUUGCUUCUUGAUUUCAUGUGGAUAGGAAUACAGUUCAAUCUUGGAUCCAUGGUGCACUAGCCUGAUCUGGUCCAAUUUGACCAACUUGACCAAAUCAGGUCGGAGCAGGAACGGUACCACUUAUCCCUGUUUCCAUCCCACCGGCAAAAAAAAUACCUAUCCCAACAAUUUAAUCUUUUUUUAAAAUUAUUAUACUGCAAAUAUAAUAGCAUCACACAUAUAUCAAUAAUCUUUUUAAAAAUAAAACAAAUUCAGUUUUAACCUUCGAAUAUGCCUUAGCAAAUGCCAACUUAUGAUAAUCUAGCAAGUAUAUCACUGAAGAUAAGUAUGAUAUUCACGAUCACUGAUAACUAAAGUUUACUGACUGUAAAGGGAAAAUCGAUUAACAUAAUGAAACAAAAACCACUUCAGAGGAAAUAAAAAAAAAACGUUUAGAAAAAUAUGGUAAAACAAUUUUCACAACUUCUUUAUAGAAAAAUUUACUUACUGCAAUUGUGCAAGCGACUAAGCCUGGUUUCUCUCUGUGGUCUACUCUGGCACAAAGUAGAAAAAACACGCCAACAUACCAUGGGAUCGCAGCCAGAAAGAAUCCAAUUAUGAACCUUCCAAAAAAGAUACUCUUCAUUAGCCUCAAACAUUCUAAGAAUUGGUAAUAUAUGUUUGAAAGACUGAAAUAGUUCAUGCAUUGUAUAUAUGUAGAUGUAGAUAUAUGUAUACACAUACAUAUAUAAGGAAAAAGCAAGAUUCACAUACAAAACCCAACCGAUGCCCAAGCCGCAGCAAGGGAGACUUGGCAGUGUCUCUGGUCUUCCUUCAACGACAUGUGCAUAACCUCGAAGAUAGUAAGCAUUAGAUGCAUUAGAACACAUCAAUAUGUCAAAAUAUCACAUGAACUAGGCACGAUGACCUAUAAUCUAGUUUGAUUACAGUUGAGCCAAGUUUAUAUCAAUGCUCUCACUAUAAAAAGCAAAAUGAAUAAAAUUGAUAUUCCAUUGCACAAAUAUAAACAUGCACCAUAAAAUUCAUGGCGAACUUCAAUUUCAGAGACAACAUCUAAACCAUUAGAAAUACACGAAGAGUCAUCAACACCGUCUCCGAUCUUUGCAGUAUCAAUCAGUCAGGAAUUCUAGAUGCAUAGAUGAAGAAGGCAGCACUAUCCAAAGCCUUCCUUGAUCCACAUGCGGAUCAACAUCCCAUGGCCCAUUCCGGUUUCGGUUUUGGUUUUGGUUCGAGAUUUUGCGAAACCGGAACCGUGGUCAGGGCUACACUGGUGAAUGACAGGAGGGAAAUCAUCCCCGGGGGAAACUCCAAUUUUUCUAUUGAGAAAAAAUAUAUAUUUUUUUUUUCUAUCUGCUGUUCUAUAAGCUUUCAUUUCAACAACAAGCAAAAUAUUCAGCUAGUAGGCCUAAUUCCUAAUCUUCAGCGAUGGCCCAGUCUUCCAGCAAUGAAACUUGACGGCACACCUCGCCCAUCGUCCAUGAAUUGUACUGGUAAAUGCCGUCGGAUUGGAACUAGGAAAGAGUGGUUAAGGCUUUCAGCGAAAGGAAAAAAGAUCUUGACACGAUUCCCGCAGGAUAAGAGAUUGGGGGUGGAAGUCACACUGGCUGGGAUCGAUAAGGGAUUUCUGAAGCGGCUGAUGCAUUCCAAUUCCCCACCCAUCCGGAGGCAAAAAAUGAAGAUCUCCUGAAACAUGCGAAUGAUGUUUAGCUCGCCAUAAUCCCGAUCAAUUGAAGCCCUAAAAGAUCUGUCAACCCUCUCCGCCGCCAUAAAUUCCCACAACCACUUCAGGAAAGGACAUACACCAGGCCGAUACCUCGAUCCGCAUUCCAAGAAACCAUCAUCCUCGACACCGAUGACUUACAAAUCCAAGAACCAAUUACCCACGAAAGACGAGACGAUUGAAGCAAAUCUAUCGGAAUGAAUUCAGAAUGCUGCUAUACCUGGGGCGGCCUGGUAGUCGUGGGCGUAAGAGGGAGGCAACGGCUGCUGCGGAGGCGCAGGGAAGGGAGGUUGAGCGGCGGUUAAGCCGGCCGGAGAGGCAGGAGAGGGGGAAUGGGCGAUUGUUAGGCCCGGCGGCGGCACCGGCAGGGGGAAGCCGAUGCUGGCGGGCUGGGCGUGGUCGGAGGCGCCAUGGAAGGUGCUGCAUUGCGGCUUGUCCUUGCUCUCCUCGCUCAUCUUCCCCCCUCCCCUUUCUUUUGUCGUGACCCCUCUCCGUCUCCUCUCCCCUUUUGCCUUCUUUCAUCUUCUUCUCUUCCUCCCGCCCUGAUUUAGACUUCCCCGAUUGCGUUAUUUCAGGUAACGCGCGAUGUGGCUUCGCGGAACCAGACGCCACUUCUGGCACUCGUUUAUCGAGUACCCCACUUCCCUACCUGCCUCUUCAUGGCACGUAGUGUUUUCGCAGCUCUGGGACCCACAAAAAACCAGUAAUCAAGUGAAACGUGGAUAAGCCAGGUACUCCAGAAACGGGUAGGAAAACCACGUCCGUCUUAAUCUCUAACGACGGUUUCAACGUCGCGCCACCGACAGAAGAAAUGACCCAUCCUCUUCUACCCGGUGGACACGCAACCCUAUUCCUUCCUCAUCUGUUCUUUUCUAGUGGGUCCCAGGUAAAUGAAAAGGUCAGCGUGGGUAAACAACGGGGUGGACCCUCUUUCGUGCGAGAACGCAAGUGGAAAUUAACGGGCCAAGCUGAGCCCACUACUAAUCCAACCCGAAACUUACGCCCGUCGAAAGGGUCUGUCUCUAUAUAUCCUCCACAACGUGCUGAACUCCAAUUUCAGGGCUGCAAUAAAAAUAUUGCUGAUGACAAUAAAUUAACAUGUUAAGAACAGCCGAGACUCCAACUUCACAUGGGAGACAAACCAUCUUGCAAGGGAUUAAUGUCAGUCGAAUUGACUCGGUAGGAAAGGAACUCAUCACCCUUUCUCUUUCUUCAACACCAUUCGCUUGACGGCACUUUCCAGCUUGUGUAACUCUCGCAGAUCGAGAGUAAUAGAUAGAUACGUCUCUAACCUCAGGUCGGUAAAAGGAUGUACAAGAGAAGACUAAAACUUCUCAGGAAAGAAUAAGAGCUUUAGCACAGAGUCAGCUCACUUUGUAACCCAAUGCUUUUUGGAAAGCUUAAUCUUUAUUGCAGAGCGUGUGUUACUGUCACGCGGUCUAAAGAUGCAUGAAAGUGGGUGAGUUGUUGUAAGUGUAAUUGGCAUCAACAAGGAGAACAUGUAUCACGAAGAAAAAGAAUGAGAGCAUAUAAUGGUGGAUGCCACAUUAAAAGACUCGUACUUCUGCCGAGACUUUGGUAAAGCGCAAGCGCAAGAAGCGCACACACACGGCCUGCUUAUGUUGACGAGAGGUAAAGCUCUCUCUCGUGAUGGGUUCCAACACAGCGCUUAAAAGAAAAACUCUCACGGUACUAAGACGCUCCUUGGUACGUCCCGUCCCAUAAAACUCGAGAGGAUGGCCGCAUAAAGGUACCAUCUUGUCCCUCGAGGAUCGAUCAUCACGUCAAAUCCGUGUACGAUCGAUCCUCGUAUAGUAAUAUAAAAACCCCUGACCGGCAUCUGGCCUAGAUGGAGGCAAAACAAACCAACCAAGCACUCACUUACUCAUGGGUCAAAGUCGGCAACCACCCGACGAGGGCCAUCUGUGCAGGAGAGCGACCACCCCCCGAGCUACCAACAUCCCGACGAAGAGCUGCCAACCAAUGUUCCAACUAAGAGCCGCCAACCAGCAUCCCAACGGAGAGUCGUCGACCAGCAUUCUGACCAAGAGCCGCCAACAAGCAUCCCGACCGAGAGACGCCAAUCAACAUUCCGAUGCUAACACCCCGUCUUGAGGGCAUAAUCGACCUCAGCAACCAGCUCAGCCGGUCAAAUGCUCCCGACAUCGACCCGUGGACCAGAUCAUGGUUGAUGACAACCACAUCAGUUCAUCAACAACAAAUUCUAUUAUCAUUACGGUUUAAUUGAUAGUAUUCUUAAGCAGGCUGAAAAAUUUAGGAUUUAAGCACAUCAGUUCAUCAACAACAUGAAUUCUAUUAUCAUUGCAGUUUAAUUGAUAGAAUAGUUAAGCAGACUGAGAAAUUUAGGAUUUAAAAUAUCAUGUAUAUAUAUAUAUAUAUAUAAAUUAAUUUUGUCUAUUAGAAAUAUCAUGUUCAAAACCUACCAGUUCUGGUGUAUUCUAUGCAUGUUUUGUGUCACCCGACCCCACCGGCCACCAGGCAAGUUGAAGCACACUUCCGCCGUCCACGGAAGGGCACAUAGACGUGGAUGUGAACCACCGGCUGCAGGUCGCCCGACAUAUGACCACCGGCUUCAUCGCCUGCAUCUCCAUCCUUCCGUCCUUCCAACUCGAUGUCGUUUCGUCACUCCCUGCGCAAUUGGAUUGAUGAACACCUGUGCCACCUGGUGGACUUCCGUGCACAGGAAGAACAGUGGUCAUCGGUUUGCCAUGACCAAGUCAACAAAGCUCCUCAGCUGUUGCCUUUGAAGAUUCAAAGGUUGACACCAAAAGCUGGACUUACGUAUAUUGGAUCACAUUCCUAUAGUAUUAAUUGAUAUACUUGCCGGAAAAUUACCGGUCUGACUCCGCCAUUUCCUUGCUGACCAACAAACCGCGUGUUCAUCGUAUUAUAUUUCUGUUCAAAGUUCACAGCUUCUUCUUAUUCUCAGUCGUAGACGGGAGAGGAAAGCAUCACGUACUACUCUUCCUCUUCUUCUUCUUCUUCUUCUUCUUCGUUCCUUUGUCUCAACAUCCUACUGUUGCAAAGAUCCAAAAGCAGUUAAUAGAUCUCUCCUCCUCCUCUUCUUCUUUCUAUCCCUUGCUUGCUCUCUGGAAAUGGCCUCCUGCAAAGCAUGGCAUCUCUUCCUAUUCUGCUGUCUUCUCCAACCGUUUCGAUCUUCAGCUUCUCUCUACAACUGGAGUUCUUCGGCGACGCACGGAUCUCCGCUCCCCGGGAUCGAAUUGCCUACCCACUUGAGCUUCAACGCCGUCACCUCCGCCGGGGAGUCCGGCUGUGACGACCACCUUGACGCGGCCGGCGGAUCGCCCAACAAAGAUGAGCAAGGAUUAUUGUACGAUAACAUGGAUCAGGGAGGGGUGGAAGACAACGCAAGCGCCAAGGAUGGGGCGGCGCCGGCCUUGAGGCUCCACCUCAAGCACCGGUCUACAAGGGAUGGGGCGGCGCCGAACAGGACCAAGAAGGAAUCCUUGGAGCACUCCGCCAAUAAAGACGCCCUUAGAAUCGGGACCCUCUUCCGGCGGAUCACCGAACGGAAGAACCAAAACGCCAUCUCCCGCCUCGCCGCCGAUGCUGAUCACCGCGCGGUCGUCGCCGAGAUGGGACGAAAGACGGCAAUCGCGACGCACCCGAAACAGGGCGGGCAGCUGAUGGCCAUGGUCGAGUCCGGAGUCACCCUGGGAUCCGGCGAGUACUUCAUCGACGUCUUCGUCGGUACGCCGCCGCGCCACUUUCCCCUCAUCCUCGACACCGGAAGCGACUUGAAUUGGAUCCAGUGCCUCCCCUGCCACGACUGCUUCGAGCAGCACGGCCCGGUCUACGACCCCGCCGCCUCCUCUUCCUACCGCAACGUCAGCUGCGCCGACCCCCGCUGCGGCCUCGUCUCGUCGCCCAACCCGCCCCAGCCCUGUCGCUCCGCCGCCGCUAAUGGCGGCCGCGACCAACCCUGCCCCUACUUCUACUGGUACGGCGACAGCUCCAACACCACCGGAGACCUCGCGCUCGAGACCUUCACCAUGAACCUCACGGCCCCGGACGGCGCCGGCGCCGAGUUCCGCCGCGUGGACGACGUCAUCUUCGGGUGCGGCCACUGGAACCGCGGGCUCUUCCACGGAGCCGCCGGGCUCCUGGGCCUCGGCCGGGGGCCGCUCUCCUUCUCCUCCCAACUCCGCUCGCUCUACGGCCACACCUUCUCCUACUGCCUCGUCGACCGCAACAGCGACCUCAGCGUCAGCAGCAAGCUCAUCUUCGGCGAGGACCCGAGCUUGCUCGGCCGCCCGGGCUUGAACUACACCUCCUUCGUCACCGGGAAGGAGAACCUCGUUGACACCUUCUACUACGUCCAGAUUAAAGCAAUCCUCGUCGGCGGCGAGGCACUGCAGAUACCACCGGCGACAUGGGAGCUGGCGAAGGACGGCAGCGGCGGGACCAUCAUCGAUUCCGGCACCAUACUGAGCUACGUCGCCGACCCGGCGUAUCAGAAGAUUAGAGAAGCCAUCGUCAAGAGGGUAAAGUACCCGAUGGUGGCAGACUUCCCGGUGCUGAAUCCUUGCUACAAUGUAUCCGGAGUACCCAAGGUGGAGCUGCCGGAAUUCGCGAUCUUGUUCGGAGACGGCGCGAUGUGGAACUUCCCGAAGGAGAACUACUUCAUCCGGCUGGAUCCGGAGGACAUCAUGUGCCUCGCCAUCCUGCCGACGCCGCAGCGGGGGAUCUCCAUCCUGGGCAAUAACCAGCAGCAGAACUUCCACAUCACGUACGACUUGAAGAAUUCCCGGCUGGGAUUCGCGCCGGCGAGGUGCGCCGAGUUGUAGAGAGAGAACUCAGAUCACAUAGUCUUGGAGUAGACAUUUUGUCGGAAGGUAGACACGAAAGUGUUGGCUCCAAGAAGAGCUGAAGAGCUCAAUAGACCAACAACCGAUUCAUUUCUUCUUUCCUAUUCCCAUCUUCUUUUUCUUCUUCUUACAUACACACAUACAUACUUUUGGUCUGUAAGAAUAAGUCUGCAAUUAGCUCGCCAUAAAGUUAAGAAAGGAAAUCCAAAGCUCUGUUGUUCUUUUGCUUUGUCGAGUAGAUAUUUCCUCAAACUGCUUGUCCUGGAUUCGUCCUUCCAUUCCUUCUCGUAGGAACAGAGAGAAGGAAGAAUGAUCGGGUAAGCGAGCAGGGAAGAGAACACAGCAGCAAUCACAGUGAACCAUCACAAGAAGAAGUGACUUCAUUUGUACGAGUAUCGCAAUUCCAUGCCUUUGAUCAUCCCAUAGCUGAUUUUUUGAUGCGUGUAUCACAUGUGACAGUCAACAUCCUGCGGCUAUUCCUCGUUCCUGUGUUUGACCAUCGAUUGCUGUACCUGUUGAUCUUUCCUUUCCUCGCUCGCCGAUACACCGAGCACGAGAGAUGCGAAUUGUCGUCCUCAUCUGUUGCACAUGUUAGGCAACGCGAGCAUUAAUUUCCACCAUCGACGACACUGCGCGUCUCCCCUUUUCCUCCGACUACUUGAUGUUGCAACCAUCACCGCUUACUCCACCAUGUACAUUAUAGUACACAUUAACUUUGCUCUCUGUUUUGGAGCAGCAGCACAUAUCGACUCCAUGAGGUGUUCGAGCAGAUUAGGUCGAGUGACAUAAUUCGGAGCACCUAUUUCGUAAACAUGUACACUUUAUCGUGCAUGCUGCUCCUGCAGGCAAUCUCGUGAAGGGAUGACUGACUUGAAUGCUUCAGUUCGUAGCUCAAGAUUAGAUCUUUUUUUGGCUGCACGCCUACCAAAUGACUCGAAGAAGAUAAUGUUUAGAUUUGCAAAGUGCCCACCGGUGAGACUUUUGCUCAAACACUUAUCCGAUUCCUGUUGUAGUCAACUGCAGUGAGCAGCGGACAGGAGUGGAGCUGAUCUGUGAGCCAUGACGGCAUUAAAUAGACAUACAUCCGUCACUACCAGAAGAGAUUCCAAAAGGCAGACAACAGUCUUUGGUUUGGUAUGGUAAUGGAUCAGUUCAUCGAAAAAGGAAGAGAAGAGGAGAGGUGGAGUACAAAAGCAAACCAUGCACGAUUUCAGUAGAUUGGGCAUUGGUUUGCCCCACAUCACAGCAAUUCGUAAGGAGCAAAUAAGCAUCCAACAAGCACCGCUCGCCAUGCUCAGAAAGAUCGAGCAAAGCAUGGCUUUGCUGUGCCAUUGCCAAUCAUAGAAACAUAAACUGGAACUCGAUCGUCUUCUCCGUCGCCUCAAGAAUGGGAGGGAUCGCGUUCAGUUGUCGAGGUGCUUCAUCCCCAGCUUCUUGACUUCCACUUUGAGAGAUUUCAGGUACUUGACGGCCUCGUCGAGGACGGCAGGAGUGUCCAUGCGAUCGCCACCGGGGAUGAUGCCCUUGAGUGUCUUCACCAUCUUCUUCAUCUUCUCCCUUUUGCCGCUGCUACUGCCGGCGGUCCCGGAGACUUGCUUCCUGGAAGAAGCGGACUUCGAGUGCGAGGAGCAGGCGGUGUCCGGGGAAUGGCCUGCCCAGCUGCCGGGCGUCCUCCCCGUGCUCACCACGUCGUCGUCUUCGCCUUCUUCCGAACUCAGCAACGCGUCGAUGUCCUCCGUCUCUUCGUCGUGAUCCCUGUGCGCACUUUGGCCGGCGUCGUGAGCGUGAGUUCCGUAGGCGUCGAAGCCGGGAGAGCCGAACUUGUGCGCCAGCGAAGGGUGGAACAUGACCCGGCUCCUGUGACGUGUCUGGUCAAAGAUGACAAAGUUUUUGGGGCAUGUCUCCGACGGCUGGAACUCGAUAUUGUUGAGCGGGGCAGGGAAAUCACGGUGCUCGUGCCCUGCAACAGGGGCGCCGCCGUAAGGGUAGUAAGCGCCUGCGCCGGAGUCGAAGCCGUAGCCGUCCUCAAGUGGAGCUUUUCCGGCUAAGUAUCUCGGGUUCCUCUGCAUGGUGCUGUCGCUUGUGGGAGAAAUCUGGUGAAAGUGAGCAGAGGAUGGCGAGAGCAAGCAACACGAUCUCCCGAGCAGAGUUUCCUGUUCGAUGCCAACUUCGAGGAAGGAAAGACAGCUUAGCUAUGGAGUGUCUCUUCUAUUGAAUAGCUCUUCUUCUGUGACAGAGGAAGAAGGAAGAGAACAGAUCGACUUGCUCUCAACCUACGUGACAGGCUUGAGCAACUGGCGGAAGUACUCAGCCUGCAACCAGAGGACAACCAGUAAGAGUAAUUCAAACACAGAGAAGAGAAUCAAACAUGUUCUUCAAGUAUUUUUUGACACAGUAACUAUGGAAUUACCUGACAAACCUGCAACAAUUGAGAAUAAGCAAUGAUCCUGACACUCAUUAUGAUCUCUCCAGCCUUCUCCAAUGUUCGGUAUCUCUUCAGAUUUGCCUCAAUGUGCAUUCUCAAUUUCUUCACACAGGUUGCGACCAAACCACCCGACAGCUAACAAAGAUUCCAACUCACCUGCCAUUAAUUCACCGAAUAAACACGAAAUCGAACGCACUUCAAGAGAGAGUUGCGGUGGAAAACAGAGAGGGCGAUUUACACUAUGACACGAAAGAAGACGACCAAGCGAACGCGCUUCAGGUAGAAGUCAGCAGCCAUCGACGCCCACGGCAUGCUUACCGGUCUGAUCUCGGUUCCCGCAGUCCUGCAAACGAAGGAUUCAAAGCUGAAACGAUCGAAUUCAACAGCCGUCGACCCGCGAAGCAGAAGAUAAAGCAGAGGGAGCAGAAACAAACGAAGUCGUGCACCAAAGCUCAAACGAUAAACACAUGGCUGCUGGUGCAAGAGAGAAGAUAUAGAGGGGACCUACGGAGGUGGUGGCUCCUGCACGGGCUGAUGCAACGCGAGAGGAGUCAGCUGAGAUUUCAAGUACAAGAAGCUGGAGCAGCGACAGGGGAGGGAGUUGGACGGCCUACGAGGCCUAUGGGAUACGGUGGGAGGCUGAGACUGUGAAGCCACCUUGCCCCUCCCUCCCUCGCCUCCUAUAUAUCUACGUCUUCCGGUGUCUCUUUCCUCCGAGGUAGGUAAUGAUGGGAGCUUCCAAAGCGGAGAUCUCUUUCCUGCGCUUUCAUUAAAAUUGAGGCAGAGCAAUUAAUGUGGCGUGGAGGCAGGCAAACGGGGGUGGAUGUGCGUCUGUGCGCGCGAACGCGCGCGAGCUUCGACUUGAUUGCGCGUGACGCUCCUCCAUCCAACACGACAGCCUGCCUCCCUGCCCCAACCAUUUAAAGUCGACACCUUUUUGCCCCCACCCUUGGGUCUCGCUGCUGCUCCUUCCACGCCUGUCGUCGGAUCAUCGGAGACGGAACAGGCAGCCGUCGGAUGGCGGGCGUCGCCCCCGGGGGCCCGCUCGGGGACUCCGGAGGGGACACAGGGAGAGGGAGAUAGAUGGUGGCGAUCACUAUUUGUUACCACGGUGUUCGGGUUCAUGUGCUGGUGUCGGGGGCAGUGGAGGGGGGAAGGUCAUCAUCAUUUGGGUGCGGUGUUGUCAUCAUAAUGUCUGCAGUGGAUGGAGAGAGAGACUGUGUGUGUGUGUGUGUGGUGGGGNNNNNNNNNNNNNNNNNNNNAGGUGGACGAGGAGGAGACCGGGGGAAGGGGGGGACAGCGAGGCCUACGGAGCACGCGUGGGCAGUCGCACCUGCGGUGAACCACCGAGCUCGAGGCCUACGAGAUGGGCUUCUGCCGCUGUCGUCGCUGGCCGUAAUCGAUGUCGCGGUUCCCCAGCAUGAUCUCCUCGCCUCGCCUCUUAUGAUGACAGGUGCUCCAUUGCUUAUGCUCUUCGGAGAUCGUAUUGCCCGACCACCAAAACGAACCCCCGCCAAUUUACCACCCUGCUGUGCGACUCUCUCUCUCUCUCGCGGGCAUGACUGUGUGGUGGGGGCCGACAGGUGCAGGAGUCAGCGUGACCUCAGCUAAGGGCCCCGCAGGUGUAAGCGGCGCGUACGAUUAGGGGGUCCCUGGAACGGAUAUGUGACACGCCCACUCAGAUUCCUUGCUCAUACUUGCUGGAUUGCAAAAUGGGCUGUAAUGGGCCUCUGGAAGCCCGGCCCAAAAUAGAGGGCUACUUGCUUGAAUUGUGCAUGAAAUUACGAUCGACUUGUCUCAUAUAAGACAUAAAUCAACCUCAGGAAAUAAACCAUAUCCAUGUCACGAAGGUCACAAUAAGUUAAACAGAAAAAGGACACUUCAUGUCCCAACCAAAGCUCAAAGUAGAACACUGUCUCAUUAGGGGGGGGCUUUCUGUCGGUGAACACCGAGAGAUGACGAAACGUCAAAUCGUACUUAGCCGACCAUGGUGCUGUCGUACAAAAAUAGUUGCCAUUAGCAACCUACUCAAGCCUUUCUGCAGCAGAACGCCUCAUACCAUCUAAACGGCAGCAGCAGGGCAACGAGACGACAUUCUGUAUCAGUGUCUGCUAAAAGAUCUGCAACACUUUUUGUGAUGGCAUUCAAUAUGGAGGAGUGGAUUCAGGUGAACGCGGAAUGCACUUGUUGUGGGCGUGCAUUGUAUCAUGUGCCGCCGGGGAGAAGCGAAGACAUAUAUAUGGCAUGUAAUUAUAUAUAACUCUUUUCCUACAUUCCAAAUAAUUUUCUACAAAACACACAUUAAUUUGCUUUAAAUUUGGAGAUGCGGGGAAUCGAACCCCGUGCCUCUCGCAUGCAAAGCGAGCGCUCUACCAUAUGAGCUACAUCUCCAAUGACACUUUCUUGAGAUACAAAUUAAUCUGAAGGUGGGAUCGACUCGGAUGCGGAUGCGUAUUCCGUGUGGUCUUAUUUGGCUAGCCGACGACCCGUUAAGCGGAGGUUGCGUGGCAGGAAUUGGCGGCUCCGAGUGGAUACUUAUCCGGAUAAACUUAAAAUUAAAUUAGAGACAAACCCGAUGGGCCCCACAGCGCCUCUGAGACAAAAACGCAUCCCAAACUGUUUCAGAAGCUGUACGAUGAUGUGUUGGUUCCACAGCGACUCUCUUCAGUGCUCAUUUUUCGUGGUUGACCCUCUCAUGUACAGAUCUCGUCAUUUUUACUUCCACGUGAGCGCCAGGUUGGAUCGUCGCCAUUCGAAUCCAUCAAUUAUUGACACCGUGGUUGACUUGAUCACACACACACGACAAUGCCGUAUAGGGAACGGCGAUCCGAACCAACACGCAAGCGGAUCAGGACCAUCCGAAAGCCGACACGCGUCCCUUACGCCCUCUCCCAUACGGGCCAUGGUUCGGCCCAUUCGAACCUCGUGCGCCCCAGCCACCUUGCUAACCAUAAAAUAAUCCCAUACGGUGUUUGCGCGUCACACUGUUCCCAACCACCUCAGCCUUAUUAAUUGAGAGGAUUACACUAAUCAACUCUACCGUCAACAACCAAUAGCUAUUAUUAUUAUUAUUAUUAUUAUUAUUAUUAUCAUUAGAAUUAGAUUCCUGUCGUACUGCAUCAGCUACAGGUCAUGUGUUAUAUCGAAGGGAAACGACCACCCAACUCAUCGAUCCUAUGCAUGUAGUAUUAUCGUGAUGUAAGGUGAAAUGGCAGUAUGAGAGAGAGACGAGGAACGAGAAGGGACAAGCUAAGUAACAGGUUUGGUGGGGGGAGGGGAGAGGGGUGCGUGUCAACGGACGCCAAGUCCAUUAAAAUACGGUUGAAUCACGGCGCACAAACCCAAUAAGACUCUCUCUCUCUCUCGCUCUCUCCAUCAUUUGCUCCUGCGAUCAUCGCUUUCGCUUUCUGGUUUCCUUGUGCGGAAGGGAGGGAGAGGAGACGCACCUCGGCCGCAAUAAUAGAGGCAGCGGAGCUGGGUCGUGGAUUUUGUUCUCGAUUUCGGCCGAUUAGGGCGGAUCUUUUUGGGUGCCAUCGCAGUGGUUUUGCUGGGAAUUUGGGUCGGAAUCGGCGGAAGUGCGCUCCAGGCUUUCGUCUACGUGCCGAGGGAAUUUUGGGUGUUACCGAUGCGAAUUCUGAGUUGUUCCGUCGCCUGGUAAGGGGUUCCGCUCUUUCUAUUGGACUAGUUGGACCUUCUGUUGGCUAGGAUGUGAGAGAUAGGUGGAUUUGGGGAUUAUUAGGGUUCUUAUCCUUUGCGAUUUGGAGAAGAUGUGCCGAAAGACAAUAGGAUUCUGUUUUAAUUCGAAUCCCCCUUUCAGCUCUUCUGGAUUCUUAGCUGGAUUCUGCCUAUUUGCUGAUUGAAUAAGAUUGCACUAUCAUUUAUGAGUCGAUGCUUUUGAUAGACUAUUGGUGCACUAGUCUUCCUUGUUGUCAUUUUUUAUUGUCAAUGCUGCUGACGGGGUUUUGGAAUUCAAUUGUGUGGUUCAUGGCUUCACGAAGUUAAAAGAAAUAAUUUCAGCGUGGAUUUAUGAUAUCAAUCAUGGUGUUACACAUGUCAAUUGAUGUUCUGAAGAAUUCUUAUGUUGGAACGAUCUUAUAAACCUUCUAUGAACAAACCAUGAAAUGUCCAUACGUUGAAUUGAAACCAUGAAAUAUCUACAUGGAGUUUGUUUAUCAUGGUCCUCUAAUAGUGCCUUUUUCCCGUCGAGAAAUAUGUAGUAUACAAAGUGUGUAGCAUCUCUCUCUCUCUCUCUCUGCGUGUGUGAAACCUUUGCUUUUGAAUUCUCUCUCUUACCAGCUGUCUUUCUUCAUGGCAAUUGUAGAGAAAUUAUCAAUGGAGCAAACUUCGGAAAAUUCAGCUCGUUUAGGUAAGUAGAAAUGAAAUCAUGCUUUUUCAACAGUAGCAGAACAAAACUGAUCAUACACUUUUGAUCUUUUGCAUAGUUUCCUCAAAUUUUCUAUCAGUGAAGACUCCAACGAAGGCAGAAAAUGCGUGGGACAUUCCAUCUGGAUCCAAUGCGCUCUGUGGAUCAAGUGAUGUUAGCCUUUUCUCAAGCUCAUUACCAGUACUUCGUCAUGAAAAAUGUAUGCUGUUCCUUUUAAUGGUUACUGACUUUCGGCUAUAUCAUUCAAAUCAACUCUAUUAAUGCUAUGUUAUUCAGCGAAUUUUGCAGAUUCACACAUCGGUGCUCAAUGGACUUUUGAUGCAUCUUCCAAACUGGAAAAGGGAAACAAUGACGCCGAGAGUAAGGUUUGUGUGGAUGAUCUGGACCUCCAUGGGACUGGGAUCCUGUUACCUGAUGAUGAAGAAGCCCUUUUGUCUGGCAUAUUGGAUGAUUUCGACCUUAAUGGGUUGCCUAGUCAAGUUGAUGAACUUGAAGACUAUGAUCUUUUUGGCAGUGUUGGGGGCAUGGAAAUGGAUUCUGAUCCUAUAGAAAGCAUUACGGUUGGUAUUGCAAAGGCAAACAUCUCUGAUGGCUUUUUAGGCAAUGGAAUUAGUCAGUAUGGUCUUCCUAAUGGUGUUGGGACUAUUUCCGGGGAACACCCAUAUGGAGAGCAUCCUUCAAGAACUCUAUUUGUGCGUAACAUCAACAGUAAUGUUGAAGACUCUGAAUUGAGGUCGCUCUUUGAGGUAAGUGUUUGUAAUUCUGUUGCAUAACUUUCUGCUUUCAAUCUGCUUCAGCUUAUAUGUAGCUUAAUUUGUAGUUGCAAGUAUUGCUAAUUUUCAUGUAGUGAAUUCUGUGCAAAAACUGUGAAAAUGGUUCCUUCUCCUGGUUUAUGUCUUGUUAAUUUAAGUUCCCAAUUGUUCUAAUGUUACUAAUAUAGAAGCAAUUUUUAGAAAGAUUAGAUUACCUAUUCUCUGUUGUCAUAUGCAAAGCGUUGUAAAAUUUUAGAAUUGGUGUUGAAGGAUUAUCUUUUUCUAUGAGUUAAUAACAAUGUGGAACUACUUUUGUUUGGUAUAUCUUUUAAAGCUAAUAACAAUGUUGAACUACUUGUAUUGGUGUCGGAAGUAUUGCUAACUUAUUUUCGUUAUAUAUUUUGUUAUGUGGAACCACUAAGUUUAUAAAAUAAGUUAUUUUCUUUCUGUUAUGAAAACGUUAUAUAGGAAUGUUGGUUGUUGGUUUUCUCUAUUCAUCUCAUGUUUGUUUAUCAAUAAAAAAAAAUGCUGCAACAUGGUGAAUCCUUUAAAUAUUGUCCCUUGUGGUACUAGUGCAUGCUACAUCUUGGUCUAUUAAGCAAAUAUACCAAGUGCUACUUUCAACAUUUAGUGUGAUGUGGCAUACCUACUGAUAUAAUUUGUUUCCAAAUCAUCAUCUUCAGCAAUACUAUCAUGUUCAAGCUUUUUGUCAUUGCAGCUGGAUUGUUUAAAGAGCACAACUUGGGAGAUCAAUAAAGCCCUAGAUGACAAAUUUGUGACCUGCUGCUAACCUAAUAUUAACCCUAGAGAGGCAACCUAAUGCACAAGGCUAUCCGGAGCUUGGGCGGGGUUAGUGUACUAUCCCUGCUAGCAAAGAGGCUAUUCUGUGACUGCAAUCCUAGUCACCCAGGAUGCAGAGUAACUUUAUUAUGACAUGAAAUCUUGCUAUCAACCUAAAUGUAAAAGUCAAGUUCAUAGCCAUGGCAAAUAAAGACAGAGAUGACUUGUCAUACAAUGUAGGUAGGAGGAGUGAUAUAAAAUAGCCUUUCGAGAAAACCAGUUAAACUGAUGUGCGAGUUUUUUUAAUUAUUGAUCUGAAAUAACUUCUUAUAGAAACCCCUUUUUCAUUUAGCGAUUGAUAUGCUGCAAUGGUUAGACUAUUAUGUGCUAGCUUUUUACUGUUUAGCUGAAGAUUACAUAGAACGUGCUAUCUAUUGUCAAGUUUCAUGCAUAAUGCUAAUAAUUUGUCUGAUUUUGUCAACAUGCUAGUUUAUUGCCUUCUUAUGAAAUCUUCUAAAUUGUAAUUUUCUUAUUGCUCAUUCCUAUUCCAGAACUUUGUUUCUUGACUUUCUCUCUCUUGACAUUUAUUUGUUGCUUCAUGUUUUUAGCAAUUUGGGGACAUCCGAAGUCUUUAUACGGCAUGCAAACACAGGGGAUUUGUGAUGAUAUCUUACUAUGAUAUACGAUCUGCUCGAUCUGCCAUGCGUGCAUUACAGAACAAGCCCUUAAGACGGAGAAAGCUUGACAUACAUUUUUCAAUUCCAAAGGUCUCAAUAUGGAUUUUUUUCUUUUUUUUUUAUGGAGAAUCUGUAACCUAUUUUACUCUCUAUUACUUGGUCAUUAUCUGUUCUAGUAAUUUUCAGGAUAACCCAACAGACAAAGAUAUGAAUCAAGGAACUCUCGUGAUAUUUAAUUUGGAUCCUUCCGUUUCUAAUGAGGACCUUAGGAAAAUAUUUGGUGCCUAUGGGGAAGUUAAAGAGGUGAGAAGUUUUAUUUAUAUUUGUUAAUCCCAGAGAUCGUUUUUCACAUAAGGUUACCAGUCACCUGAGGCUAAUGCAAAGGUGUCGGUUUUUUACUGUUUGAAGCAGAUAAGAGAGACUCCUCAUAAGCGGCACCACAAAUUUAUUGAGUUUUAUGAUGUCAGAGCAGCAGAAGCUGCCCUGCGGUCAUUGAACAAGAGUGACAUAGCUGGGAAGCGAAUAAAGCUAGAACCAAGCCGCCCUGGUGGAGCUCGCAGGAAGUAUGUACAUUGAUUUUAGUGUUUGCAUAUAUCUCAUUCUUGGAGAGAAGUGCUAUACAAGAUCUGUAGAUUUUUUUUUCCACUCUAAUUUGCACUAUUACAUUAAAUUUGCAUAUAUUUCAUUCUUGGAUGGUUUAUUGUUUUCUUAUUGUCAUGGGUAGCUUUUUCCAUAAACUCUUUUUGGAAUUAUUUAGUACUGAAGUGCUAAAAGCUCAAUCUUUUAAACAGCUUAAUGCAACAAUUGACUCAUGAGCUAGAACACGAUGAGACCAGAGUUUAUCGGCACCACGGGGGAUCACCUAUCGCCAAUUCACCACCAGGUAUACUUGGGUAACACGCACCUAAAUUCAUGUGUAUCUUUGUGUGUAUAUUGUCUUAUACAAGUGUUCAUCUUUGCCUUUUCUUUUCAACUCUUAACACCAUAUUUUACAUUUGCCAUAUUUUGUGAUUUGAACUGGGUGCCUCUCGAAUGGCAGGUCUAUGGGCACAAUUCAGUAGUCCAAAUGACAACAGUCCACUACAAGUUCUUAGCAAGUCCCCUAGUGGGGGAGCAAUGAGCCCCAUUAAAAAUAAUCAUUUGCCUGGACUAGCUUCUGUACUUCCUCCAAUUGUAUCAACUUCCACUAAGAUUGCACCAAUCGGAAAGGACCAAAAUAGGGCCAGCCAUGCUGAUCAGGUAAUUUCUGGUGGGAGUCCGAUACAUGGAAGUGGAUAUCAGCAAUCUCAUUCCUUCCCAGAUCAUGGUCAUGGAUUGGUGACCCCAACUCUAGGAAAUUUAACUUCUUUUGGUCCUUCUACAUCGAAUGCAUCUGGAGUUGGAACUCUAACUGGCCCACAGUUUCUCUGGGGUAGCUCGGCUUCUUACACAGAUAAUAUGCAGUCUUCUGCUUGGCAGUCUAGGGCUACAGGAAAUUCAUUCAUGUCAAAUGGACAAGGGCAAGGGCAAAACUUUCUCUAUUCAGGCCAUCAUGGCUCGUUCACUGGGUCAUCACACAGUCAGCAUCACCAUCCUGUUGGAUCAGCUCCAUCUGUUGUUCCUUUCGAGAGGCAGUAUGGAUAUUUUCCCGAGUCACCAGAGACAUCCUUCAUGAACCAAGUUGCAUUUGGAAAUACUGGGAUUAACCGGAAUGGUGGCAGUUUACUUAUGAACACGACUCCUCAGGCCACUAUGAAUCAAGGCAUAAUGUCAGGAAACAUGCCAGAUAAUAGUUCACCCAAUAUGAGAAUGAUGCCUCCUCAGAGAUUUGGACCUGUGCUCUUUCGCAGUCCUCCUUAUUCUGGCCUAAGUUCCAUCGGCAUUGAUGGUCUAGUUGAUCGGAACCGCAGUCGGCGAGUUGACAACCAUGGUGGUCAAGUAGACAAGAGGCUGUAUCAGCUUGACUUGGACAAAAUAAUUAAGGGGGAAGACACUCGAACAACGAUAAUGAUAAAAAACAUUCCAAAUAAGUAUAUCUUUGGAAAAAUUAUCAAAUAUCAUGAUUCUUUGCCAAUUAUAUGGGAUCAUAAACCUAAUCUGGUUUUUACUUGCUUUCCAGGUACACCUCGAAGAUGCUUUUAGCUGCAAUAGAUGAAACUCACAAAGGCACGUACGACUUUUUGUACUUGCCAAUAGAUUUUAAGGUAAUUUGCUCAAAAUUCAAACAAUGGUGGUUUCAUAAUAGUAUCUUAAGCUAAAUCAAAAUUUGAUUUUAUCUGUGCAGAAUAAAUGCAAUGUGGGUUAUGCAUUUAUAAACGUGGUGUCUCCUGCACACAUAAUAUCCUUUUAUGAGGUUUGGUUUUGUUUUGUUUCCCUACUUGCUGAUUCAGUUCUUGUUAGGUCUACUUUCUGAAAUGUUUAUGAUUGGGAGACAGAAGUUUUGAAGUGUAAACUAGGCCAACCAAAUAACAAAACCAUGUAAACUUGGGAAGCUUUGCUAAACCCCUUUUAUACACUUAACAGGCAUUCCAUGGGAAGAAAUGGGAGAAGUUUAACAGUGAGAAGGUUGCCUCUCUGGCAUAUGCAAGAAUCCAGGGUAGAGCUGCACUUGUUGCCCACUUCCAGAACUCUAGCUUGAUGAAUGAAGAUAAGAGAUGCCGCCCCAUUCUUUUUUAUUCUGAGGGAGCGGAGGCUGGUUAUCAGGUAAAAGAUCAAUAAGUUUCUGGGAAUCUUAUGAAGUAGCUUAGUAUACUGGAUGUAUAUAAGCUGCAUUGAAUUGAUUGAUAAGCAAAUUUGUUAAAGCUACCAGAGAAUGUCCGAUGUCGUUAAUUAAUAAAUUCACAUGUUCAGCUUAUGCGUGUUAGGGUUCACCAGGAUCUAACUAAUGAUUAGAUGUCCUGGACGGUGCAUUGAAUAUGAAGGAGCUUUUUUUUUGUCUUUUUCUGAUAGUCAAUAUUGUGUUGAAUGCUUGAUGUUAGUAUGAUUGAUGUUACUAGACACAUGCUACGGCCAAAAUUUAGUCCUUUGCUUUUGGUCGCAUAUAAGCUGUUUGUGCAAGAGCUGUUGAGGUAUAACUGCAUACAUAUUCAUGCAGGUAGUCAUGCAAAAAAAUUGUUUAACUCGCUUCGGUGACUGUUUUGUGACUUUCUCUAUUGUUUCCUUAUUCCAUAAAAACUCGGUUAGUGGCUGAAAUUACCAAAUAAAUAAAAUAGUAUUCGAUGACUGAAUAUUAUUAAAUCUUUGUUUAUAUCCCUUGAGCCAAGGGUUGAUUUUCUGGUGUCUAUAAAGAAAUGAUUCCUCUUACGGACAUGACUGUUAGUGUUAAUCGUGUUCAUUUGGAUCUAUAUGUUGGUAAAACUUAUUUUUCAUCCUUUUCUGACAUGUGCUUUUGCGGUUUCGUAUGUCAAGUUUUCGCUGUCCUAGAUCAUGACGAAGUCAAAGAUAAAAUGUGGUUACUCCGUUUCUUGCAGAUUUACUAUGUUGAUCAACCUUUAGGAUUUGUUUCCCAUUUAAUGGAUACGAUUGCUAAUAGAUGAGAAGGUUUUGCAGGAACUCUUUUCAUCAAGUCAUGUGGAUGUGCAUCAAGAAGAUAUGACUGAAUCAGUGGGCGACUCACCUGAAGGUCCACGAGGAAGCAGUAAUGGGCUGCCAGAGAACACCAACGUACCUGGAACUAGCUUGGAAGGGUAGCAGUUCCUUACAGCAACCACGUAUUUGUGAAUACUAACUCUCCAUAGGUAUUCUAAGUGUAAAAUACGGUGAGGGGGGGGUGGGUUUGGCAAGGAAACUGCGUGCAAUUGUAUUCAAGGGUGUGUCCACUUUUGCAGCCACGGAUGCACCAAAGCAUCAUCAGUGCCAUUAAUCGAAACAGGGAUAUAAGUCCCUGUUCCUUCUUUUGUACAGAUAGGAAGAUCCUGACGUCAAGAAAUAAAGGUUGAAGUGUAUAGGUUUGAUCACGGUCAGUCUGCUGGUAAGCACAUUGCUAACUGGUGGUGCAUGGUUUCAUCUUUUUCCUUUUAGGCACAUGGUUUUAAUGGAUGUCUUUUGAACUUUGUAUUAUUGUACAUAAUGGGACUUAAUUUAGUGCACUUAAUUUUCAUUACUGUGGCAGUUAAUUUGAGUUUGUUGAAUGUGUUUAGUGCACGUGGACUGUUCAUCUGACCAUUUAGUUUCUUCUUUAUACGUUUUGCAUUCGGACAAUUGCUGUUUAUUUAUAAGUUGGGUGCGUAAUGUUAUCAAUGGCGUGAAGUCCAGAAGUCGCUGAGUUUUAAUUCAGUCUGGCGUCAUGAACAGGCUGAUCAGAUGACUGCACCGGCGUUGCCGAGAAGCUGUUCGACGAAUUGAUCCAACGGAGACAGUCAUGUUAGGUACGACGUCACGUGGUGGUGCUUACUCUGGUUGGACGAUUGGACGCUGUCGGGCCACUCGUCCUCUGACGCCUUGAGCGCCACAUGGUUGGGCAGUAAUUACACUUGGCGUCGCAGCUCUGCAGCCACCAAGCAUUUAUUCUUCUUACGCUUUUCUAUGGCCAUUAGCCAUCCCAUACAACUCGGACAGCCCCAUGGAUAAGGCCCUAUUGACCACUAUAAAGAAAGGUGAGAAAUCACCCGAAAGCGAGUGGUUUAUCUCUUUUAUCUUGGAGUAGCUCGGUUUAGAGUUGAUGGACUGCAGUGUCUUCCUGUUUAUGAUGCGAGGACACACGUUUCCUCUCUCUUUAAUGAUUCGAGCUAAGUUUCAGCCACAGCCCUCUCUCAGUUGUUAUUUGAGCGAAGAGCAGCUCAAUCACAUUCUUCGGUGCUUUCCAUGAUGGAUGAGCCUCUCCUUCCCACCUCCGCCCCCAAAACUGCCCCUCCUGCAACCACGGCCUCCUAUCCCAGCUUCCUCCGGCGUCUCCGCAUCUUCCUUGUCCUCGCCGCCUGCGCCCUGUGGGCAAAUUACGAGGCCUCCAAGGGCUUCGACAUCACCGUCCUCCACGGCGCCUCGCGCAGCCCCGCCGCCCGCCGAUUCGGCCUGCUAUUCGUCUCCAACGGCCGAGCCGCCAGGCUCGUCCUCAGCUCCAGUGAUCUCGUUCAGCGCGUCCUCUACCCGGAUGAUUCGUUCCCUCGGAAGCCAGUGCGCCGGAUAACGCUUUUCUUGGCCGACGAAAACCUCAACGAGACCGUCGUGGUCAGCCACGGCCGCCACCCAGGCGAGUUCGUAGUCCAGAUGAGCCCGGCCGUCAUGAAGGCGACGGACGUGCAGAUGUCGGUGGCUUCCGCGCUGCAACGGGGCGUGGCUCGCGUCUGGCUCUGGGACGGGCGAGGCCAGGCGCCGAGACCGCUUCUUGACGCCAUGGUAGAGUACCUCACCACGCAGAACAACGCCAGUGCUACACUCCGCACCAAUUCCUGCUGCGCGGCGGGGGAGCAGCUGCGCGUAGCGCGCGUGAAUCGAGCCAUGCAGGAGGAGUGGGACGAUCGGAUGCUGGAGGAUGUAUGCGGCUCGCCUUCCGAAAAGGUCUGCUCGGCCUGCCUACCUCUUAUCGACCUCAGUACGUUCGCAAGGAACGUAGAUCCUGAUCAAGAUCCACAGACAUGAGCUUAUGAGUUAGUGUUAGCAGUGACAAUGGCCGAAUAAUUGAGGGGAAGCAGUAGUCAAUGCAUGACGCAGAAGCAAGUGGAGCCGACCGCUGAGCUACGAUCUAUGCAAGAUUAGGACUGCAUCUUGUACUACUUUUCUGUGAUCCUACAAUGGAUUCAGUCAGUACCAUGUCAUGCUUUGAAUCAGCGAAUGCAAGUAAUAGAUUAUGCAAUUAAUAGCCUAAUCAGUGAAUGCUGGAGGAUGCACACUUAGUUUCAUGUGGUUAGCGUCCAUUGCACUGCUCAAAAUGACCCAAUCGUACACAGUAAAACUUGCAUGGUGGAAAAGCUUCAGCUGCUCGAUGAAUGACGAGGACGGUUCUCAUUCUCUUUCAAGCAAACUGCUACUAGAUGUUGUGGCUCAAUGAGCUCCAUUGCCUCGUAGAUAGUUCUUGUGCAUGAGCGACAGGUCUCAUCAAUCAUGUAAUUAACAUGGAUGGGUCCCAAACUUGUCUGGUGUUUUGGGUCUCUUGCUGUUGACCGUAGCGUAGCAACACCAGAUUCCGGCGAGUAGAGCCACACGCAAAAAGCUUUCCCCUUUCUAAUUUGCAUGAGGAAUUCAAUACGUAAUAUCGACAUUACAGGAAUAGAAGACCGAGUUGUACAGGGAAUUCAAUACGAAGAGGACUUUUCCUAAGUACCAAAGGAAGACGAACAAUAGGAAUAGAUAUCAUAAAGGUUAAGCACUGACCGACAACAAGAAACGAGUUCUCCUUUGUAAUCCAUGGUAAUGCCAUUUGGCCAUUUACAUAUUAACCUCACAUCCAAUCUACGUCAAUAAUAAUAAUCAUCAUAGCUUUAUGAUUCCUGUGGGACAAAACUGGUCAGAGCCCAUCGACUAGUGGUCUUCCUCAAAUUGAGAUCAGUCACACACUGUGUUGGAUAUGCACGGAUUUCAUCUCUGAACGACGAAAUAAUUGGAUCUCGAGAUGGGAUUGGUGUUCGUCGUCCGACAGAUGCAGCUUUUCUUAAACACGGAUGCGAUGUCUGUGAUUAGAUGUGAAGUAAUUGGAAGUGUCUGCACUUUGUUCUCUUCUUCAUGUCCAGGAAACGUAAGUGGCCAUCAACCCACCAUGUCUGGUCUCUUUCUCUUUGCUCUCUCUCUCUCUCUCNNNNNNNNNNNNNNNNNNNNNNNNNNNNNNNNNNNNNNNNNNNNNNNNNNNNNNNNNNNNNNNNNNNNNNNNNNNNNNNNNNNNNNNNNNNNNNNNNNNNNNNNNNNNNNNNNNNNNNNNNNNNNNNNNNNNNNNNNNNNNNNNNNNNNNNNNNNNNNNNNNNNNNNNNNNNNNNNNNNNNNNNNNNNNNNNNNNNNNNNNNNNNNNNNNNNNNNNNNNNNNNNNNGUCGUCUUCUUCUUGUCUCUCUCUCUCUCUCUCUCUCCCUCUCUCUCUCUCUCUCUCUCUCCCUCUUAAAUCUCAUGGCAUCAUAAACGGCACACAGAGGCUCCUUACACAAGACAAGAUCUCAUAAAUCAACGGGCCCCACUUCCCUAGACGUAUUGGCCGACGACAGCUCCCAUACUUCAAUACGCUCGUCUCUAAGUACCUCGACUGUACGUAGUCGACAACGCACGUCGAGCCAUUCGCUGGUCAAGCUUUUCGAGGUGAUAAGAUCAUGGCGGUAAAUCUAUAGGACGUGAGAGUGAUUGGUUCAGAUUUUUGUUCCUGUUUCUGUUCUCUUGUUCAUGCAUUCUUACUAAGAUUACUACGGUUGUAGCGAAGCUUAUAUAUGUUGAUGUAACUCAUUAUUUUGCCGCACUCUUACGUCUGCAAUGGAGCAGCCUCUCCUUGCUUCUCCUCCUAACAUCGUCCCCAACUCUCGACCUCCUCCGGCCAAGUCCUCCAACCCUAACAUUCUCGUCGGCCUCACCAUAUUCCUUGUCGUCGCGGCCUUCUCUCUGUUGGCGAACUACGAGGCCGCCAAGGGCUUUCAGAUCGUCGUCGUCAAUGCCGCCUUGCACACCCACGCAGGCCGGCGCUUCGACCUCCUGUUCGUCUCCAACGACCGCGCCACCAGACUCGUCGUCGCCUCCAGCAAUCUUGUGCAGCGCAUCCUUUACCCGGACGAUUCGUUUCCCAGGAAGCCGGUGGACCGCGUGACACUUUACAUGGCCGGCGAAGACCUCGACAGCACGGUUGCAGUCCGCGGAGGACGCAGCGCGGGCGAGUUCGUCGUCCGGAUGAGCCCGGCCGUGAUGGAGGCGGCCGACGUCAAAGCGGCCGUGGCUGAGGCGGUGCAACGGGGCAUGGCGCGGGUCUGGCUAUGGGAUGGGCGAGGCGAGGCCCCGAGAUCGCUUCUUGACGCCAUGGCAGAGUGGGUUGCCAUGUCCUCCGGCAUGGCAUCUCCUUCCAUCAGGCCCCGCAACACCAGCGUAUCACCGUUCAAUGCUUCGUGCUGGGAGGACGACGACCACGUACGCCUGGCGAGCUUCUUGAAUUACUGCGACGCGAAGCACCAUGGAUUUGUAGCGCGCUUGAACAGAGCCAUGCAGGAUGAGUGGACCGAAGACACGUUCAACGUUACAUUGGGCUCAUCAGUUCCACAAAUCUGCUCCGCCUAUCUCUCGGCAGAACAAAUAUCUAGUAAGUAAACCUAAUGCUUCUUCUGAUGUAAGAGCUAAUAAGCUUACUAGUGUGCCACCUUUUACGUAGUAUGUACAUCAUCUCAACGAAUAACGAAGCCAUUCUAUCAACAGAUACACACAUACACAGAAAUGGCUUCCCACAGCACGUACUUUCAAUUUGCAUUAGUAAGUUCACAAUGACUCAGUAAGUUACGAACGCAUCAGCAGUCCUUUCCGAUUGAAUGCCUCACUGAUAGGACGUCCAGUUUUGUGAUAGAAUUCAUUGCUGAAUGAACAAUCGGUGCGUAACUCCGUCAUGUGAUUAUUGUACUGUAUGUGUCAGUAUAGCAUCUUCUCGCGCAGUUAAUGGGUUUUGUUGAGGCGUCGUCGUCGUCUGCCCACAAAGGUUUUGUAUCCAUCUCGUAGGUUGCUCGGGAGCCAUCCAUGGCACAUCAAGAACCAUGGUGGGCCUCGGAGCUUUGGGUGCUUCCAUUUGGAUAUGUGGCAUCUCAGUUGUCUCUCUCGUCCUCGCCGGGGUGAACAUCGAGAAGGCAAGGGUACGAACUGUGUGGUCUGAGCUUGAAAGCUUGAAAGUUUGUGAGCAUAUUUUCCUUGGGAUUCUGAUAGCGAGUUUUCUCACCGGAGAAGAAUGAGUUGUAGAUCUAAUGCGGCCUUCUUGAUUCGAAGUGGGAAAGGGGCAUCUGCAAUUAUCAGCAUCAGACAAAAGCAUUUGGCAUGACUAACUCCAACUUGUCAGUGAUGUUUUUGCUGCCUUCGGUUCUUCCAAACCUUCUAGGAUUUAAUUAUUAAGAGGACAGCGAGGAUUGAGAUAUUUCAGUACUUGGAGCAUAUGAUUUGGGAUCACCAAAGGGCGACGACAGCUACUCAUUAUUGGGGUUGGCGACGAAUACAAAUACUUUUAGCAGUCCAAAGUUUCCAAUAAAUCUUUAUUGCGUACUCUAAAGAAUGAAAGUAAGACAUUUCUCAAAAAAAUGUUAGGGUGGGAGAAAAAAAAUUCAAAUUUUAUGUAAAUUUAUUUUAUAUACUUAUAUAAGGAUAUUUUACCUAAAAACUACCGUCCUAAUUAGUUUUCACCUAAUGUGUUUUUUUUAUUAAUUUAACGAAAAUAUCUCUCUACCUUCCACUCCGACCAUCGUUGUCGUGGCCUCCUCUUUUUCUACUCCUCCUUUUCUUAUAUCAUCCAUCCUUUUAUAUUGUUUUUGUUUAACAUUAUCCAUUUUUACUGCUGUAUCGUAGCAACGACUACACUUUCACGAAUGUAUAAAAGGUAAUGUCUAUUCUUUAUCACAGUAUUUCAUUCAUCAUUAUUAGCAUUCUCUUUGUUCACCUAUGCUUAGCUCGCAUUACAUAAACGAUCGAAGGAGGGGGGAGAGUAUUGUUGCUCAUCGAUGACAUUAUAUAAAGAUUGACAUGGAAGGACGAACAAUGUUUACCACUUACACGAUCAAAGAUUUCUAACAAAGAAAAAAGAUAUAUUUUUAUUAAAAUAAAUUAAAAAAAUCAUAAUUAGGAGGCAUCAUAUGAUGAAAGUUCAGUCUCUCUCUCUCUCUCUCUCUCUCUCUCUCUCUAUAUAUAUAUAUAUAUAUAUAUAUAUAUAUUUGUGUAAAAUGCCGUAAAGAAAAGAAAGACCAUGUGGUUCGCACGGACGUACAUAAGUCACCUGGGUAUGCCUUUUUGGGCAGGUAUCAGGUAUCAUAUUGCGCCCAACCCUAGAAAUCGGAGGCGGAGGAAUCGAGCCGAUCUGUUAAUUCGCACCCCGGAAAUCCACAUGAACCCACAAAAUUAACCCCCCAAGCCCAAACCCUAAUCCGCCCCCUGCUGCUUCGUCCUCCUCGCACAGCAGAUUCAGAUUUGGGUUGGGUUAGGAUCUAUUGAUUGGGUUGUAAAUGACCUCCGCGCCCCAACAGUUGGAGGCCUCUGCCUCUCGGUCUCCUCGGCCACAACAGCAACAGCAAGCACGACCGCCACCGAGCGGCACGCUGACCUUCGACGAGAUCUCCAAGCUCUUCUCGCUUCCCAUCGCCGAGGCCGCCCCCGUCCUCGGUAACCACACCCGAACCCUCCUGAAGAUCCCCCGAUUCCCGCUUCUUAUUGUGAUUUGUUGUCUAUUUAUUGCUCUUGGCGGUUGGAUUUGGGAUCUGGCGGGUGGCUUUGUUUGUUUGGAUUUCUGUGUGUGCUCUUGAGGAACUCGGUUGUGGUGCACUUUACCCUUCAUUAGAAUGCAUGGAUUUGGGCUUUGGUUUUUCCUCUUCGAUCUUCUCAUCCCUGGACUUCAUUAGAGUGAGGGUGGUUCUCAUUCUCUUUCAAGCAUACUGUUACUAUUGUGGCUCAACAUAGAACUAUGAAAUUAGCACAAAGAAAAAUUAAAUUUCACCUUGGGAACACUAAUGGAAACCAGAAAGCGCAAAAUGUACAACUUGCAGUAGACAAGGCUUUGGCAGAUUUGUUGUUCAAGCUUGGGCUGAUACUGAUACCUGAAGUCUGGAGAUAAGAAUUCGAUAACUUGCUACUGACUUGUUGUUCCAAAUGGUAUAGAGGCCACUUGUCGUUCGUUAGAUUUUUCUCUUGGUUGAAUAAAAUUGUGUUUACAUGUCAUGGCUGAGCAUUUAUUUUGGUCGGUUACUGCAUUCCAUUUAUCUGCAGUUACGUAUGUGAUUAAGCAUCAGGUUUAAUUUAAUAAAUAUGAAAAGCUUGAAUAUAGAAGUUAAAAGGAAUCAUAUGGAUUGGACAACAUAGAGUGAUAGAGAUUGCGUAGGCAUGGAAUUACGAAUCAGGAGUGUAUAUUUUCACGAGGAUUGAACAUUUACCAUAUUCUACAAUUUCUAGAAUUCAGUGUACUAUUUGAUGGGGAAAAGCUGUGUAGCAUGAAAGCGGCAAGAUGGUAUGAUGAAGGAACAUCAUUCAGGACUUGAUUAAUCAGUUCUGAUAUUUAUGUGAAGGAUAGAAAGCUUAUUAGCAAGCAGCUUGCUGUUUCCUUAUAAUUUAAACUGGGAAGCAAGAAAUCGGAUGUAGCAACAUUCAUUUAGGCAAGCAGUUGUGAUGUACAUUACAGAUCAAUCUUUGACAAUAAUAGCAAAGUUGCAAUCACUAAACUGGAAGAAAUUAGAUGAAGGAAAUCUACUGCAGGGUAGGUAGGACUAUAAACACAUCAAUAACAGAAAUAUUAAACAAUAAAAGCAGCAGCAGCAGCAGCGAUGAAGAAUAUACAAAGAAAUAAGAUAAUUCAUGGAGUGACAAGAGAGAAAUUGGAUCACCACUUUUCUUAAAAGAUAAGUCACAUACAUAGAGCCAUGGUCCACUCCAUUAUUUUGGGAAUUAAUAGCUAUAGCCUAAUACAUAGAGUCAUUAACUACUCCAUCCAAAAGUAUGUCACAUAGAGCCAUCAGCUACUUCAUUCUUUAGAUCUCAUAACUGGUCCAAUAUAAAUCCUUCUAAGUUCAACAUUUUAAGGCUUUCUAUUUUACUUUCUGUUACAUUUUUUAUAUUUAAAAUCAGGCUUCAAAUGUAAUUAUACAAUUUCCAUCUGACAGUUGCGAAUGCUGCUUUAUAGGAGUCUGUACAAGUGUCUUGAAGAAGAUAUGUCGCGACUAUGGCAUUGUAAGGUGGCCAUAUCGAAAGGUAGGUUGCUGAUUUAAGUUUUCUCAUUAGUUUCGUGGUGGUUAUCUCAAGAAAUGUUUCAUUAUCAAUGGAAUACAUAAACUCUUCUCAUCCAUCUUUUUGGCAUAUACAGAAACUGAUCAAUGAAAAAAAAAAGUUGAUUUUGAAAUUGUGUAAUAGCAAUGUAACUGUUGCAUAUAAAGCUUUCUAAAAACACAAAAUUUUUUUUCUUAAGUUCAUUUCGUGAGAUGUUCUUUAUUUGUUCCAUCCAGUUGAACGUAACCUUUUAGAGAUUUAUAAUCUUUUAGUAGCAGUUUGGUGUCUGUUAUAAUUUUCAUAGAGUUCAAUGGCAAAUAUGGUCAUAAGCCUUUCUUUUCUUUUCCAUUUAUUUCCCUCUACAUCUUUCUUUCUUUUUCUCCUUGACCUCUAUAUCCGCUAAGACUAUCCAUGUUCUGCGGUGACUGUGCUUUCUUUUUUUCCCUUUUCUGCAGUAGAUGAAGAUUUUCUGUUAGAUUGUUGAAUUAAAGAGCCUUGCACAAUUUCUCAGAUGUUCAUUCCAAACAAAGUUGUUAUAUUUUGCAAUGGUUUUUACAAUUUUAUUACAAUGAGCUGGAAUGAUGCAUGCCAAUUUUAUUACAUGACUUUAUAUCAUGUAGAAAAAUCACAUUACAAAAUCUAAAAUUCUUUCAUGUCCUUCAGAUGUUACAUUCUCUUUAAUUCACAACAGAUAAGUGCUCGAUCCAUCUCCAGUUACAAUGGAAAUGAUGGUUGCUUUUUAUCAACUUAUCUAGUCAAACUGACAGUACCUAUGUGAUUGUAUUGUUUUGGAAACUGUUCCACCUUGCGUUUUACAUUUUAACAUCUGUGCUGAAUGAUCUUUUGCUAACAUAAUUAUCUAUCAUUUUGGUUAUCAUAUUUGGUAUUUAUUUAUAAAGCAUUCUAGAAGAAAUAAUUAGGAAUUUGGUCUUGUUUUUAGCAACUUUGUUGUGUUGUUCUGUUCUUCGUAGAAAUGUAUCUUCAAUUGUGAAAAUUAAAAUGGUCAUGUUGUUUUAGUAUCUUGCUGGGAAGACUGUAGAAGAUAUUAGAAGAGAUAUUGCUAAGGAGAGAAGUAAGGAGCUAGCUGAUUUAUCGAAGACUAACCAAAAGAAUGAUGUGUCCAAUGUGAUGUCAUCGCCAGUUGGUUCCUUAUCAGCUUUGUGAGUAUACUUACUUUUCUUGUUCAGUGAAAAGUAUAAUGCAUCUCCAUCCAUAUCUUUGUCUUCUAAUUUAUCAUGCUUUAUUAGGUAUGGCUUUUUUUUAGUGUAAACUUCAUCAAAUAUUAUCUUAAACACAAUCUUGUCCAUGUAAAUGUCUUGCCAUGAGUAUUUAUUUCAACUUCACAGGCAGUUGUUCUGCAGGAUUCUUACUCGAUGCAUGCUUAGGAAGGCAUGAGUUCUCAACUAAUCUGCAGCUAGUAUUUGCUACUUGAUAGAAUUACUUGGAGAAAACAUUUAACCCGUGUGUAUGAAUGUUAUGCUUGUAGGCUAUUCUUCAAAUUGUUGCAAAAAAUGUGCCCUCUUGGAUGAGUUUGCAAGGAAAAUAUGCCAAAUGAUCAUCCUAUAACUAUGUGAACAGUUUUAUCCAUUUUGACUUCGGGGUGAUAGUGAAUCAAGUCUUUAUAAAAAUGCUAAUCGCCAAAUUGAUAGGACAAAGUUUUGGCUCUGUUAUUGUGACUCACCUAUUGCUGGAACUUAUCUUAUUUUAUCAAUAAUCACAUUUCUCGUCUAAUGAUCUUAUUUUGUCAAUUUUAGUCUUAGCAGUUUUAAGUUAUCGCAAGGAGCACGUAGGACAUUUGACUGGUUAAAAUUAAAAUUGAUGCCAUCUCUUUCAUUAUAUUGCUUAUUGCAUGGCCUGAACUUUAUAUGAAACUCUUGUGACCAAGUUUCUGCUAAUUAUUGUCUCUAGAUGCAUUGAGGAAACCGAUUGACCUCUGAUCCUUACAAACAAAUAUGGCAAUUUUGUCUUCAGUUAAUAAUCAUGGAAGUAUUUACUAGCAACUACAGAAAAAAAUAAUGUCAUCUUGUAUCUUUGUAGAUUACAAUGUUUACUACUUGGGGUGUUUGGAGUGCCUAUUUAGAUUUUCCAUGCCUUUAAUGUUUGCUAUUUAUUUAGCUUGUAUCUAGUUAGAAAUGUUUGUAUGCAAUAGGAUGUGGCCUUAAUUUUUCAUGCCCUUAAUUUUUUUUUUUUUUUUUUUUUCCGUACGAGUAUCAUCAAAACCUAACUAAAUUGUAACCAGUAACCUGCAACACUAGCUUUAGCGUAUAACACCCAGGUCAUGGUUUUCAGGUCACCAUGACUAAUUAGAAAAUCAUAUUUUAGUAUGUGCAUAAGGAAUUUUGUUAUAAAUACAGUACUUAUUCCUUGCGGAAUGAUACAGAAAUAAUGUGAAUCAUCCUAUUCUGUGAAAAGAGGGGCUCGAUGACCUAAGCUGAACUGCUUUGAUGUAGAGAAUUAUUACUGGAAGAAGAAUAUUCUUUUUCUAUUAUUUUUUGAACUGAAUAGAUCUAUCUUUCUGCAAUAGGAUAUAACUCUCAAUUUUCUUGUCUUUUAUUUGUUCUUUUUUUUUUUUUGUAAACAGAUAUUUCUGCUGCUAUUCUAGAUGCACCACGAUUUGAUGAUCACUAAUGAAACUUGAAUUCAUAUACAAGAUAAUGUUUGUUGGGUUGAACAUGUCUCAUGUUUUUGCAAUAUUGGAGGCAUUAUGAAGCAUGAAUUCAUAUACUAAGAUAAUAUUUCUAGAGUCGAACAUGUCUCAUGCUUUUGCCAUAUUUGGAGGCGGCAUGUUGGAGGUACACACAACUUGGCGAGGAGCCCCUACUUGUGCUCCAGACCUUAAAAAACCAAGAAUGUCAGCUAUAUUUCAAUAAAAAAGUGAACCAACGUUAUUUCUAGAGGGAUUUCUGAGGUCUGAAAAGCACGCAGAGAAGGCAAACAUAUUAACACAUCAGCUUUCUCCUAUAUGGAAAAUUUGUUGAAUCUGUGUUCAUCAUUAACUUAUAUUAAUGACACUACAAGAAGCAGAAAAAUUAGCCGUCAUCUGUGCAGUUCAAACAUGGUCUUCUUUAGUUAUUUGAUAGAUAAUUUGCACUUUAUUUGUGAAUACAUACGUCAGUGGUUUGUCGAUGCUGGACGUCAUAGUGUAGGUUCUUAUGCAAGUAACAAUUUAAUUCUUUGCUUGCUCCUAUAAGCCUUGCCUAAUGCAAUUUUUUUGAAUUUUGAAACAGAACACCGAACCCUGCUCAAGAAUCUUCCAAAAUGCAGAGAGUUUCCAUGCCAGGGCAUGUUUCGCAACUGCAAGGAAGUAGGUUUACUCAAAACGGAUGGCCAAAUGUGCUCCAUCAAAACCAAUCAAAAAACAUCCCUACGUUCAUGGACGAUUUCAAAUAUGGUUUUCCAGAAAAUGGUCUAUCGUCAACUUCAUUCAAAUGGUGGGGAAUCAGCAGGCUAGAAGAAACCGAAAGGACCGUGCCAGGAGAAGGAGAAACUACGACCGAGAAGGAUGACAAUCAAGAGGUACAGGACUCAUCAAAUGAAGGCGAAGAACCUGAUUCUGGUGCAGAGGACAAUGUUAUCGUAACCAAGCCAUCUGCUUUGCUGUGCUCUCUGAGAAGAAAAUCUGUUGAAUAUGGGCGCGAGUCACUCAAGAGAGGGAUUUCGGUUGCCGGAAUACCCAACAAACUCACGAAGAGGCAGAAGCUAACAUUAUCCCAAGUAUUUGGGUCAUCUUUACCAGAGGAAUGGAAGGAAAACUUCUCGUGAUCCUUCUUCACUGAGUAAUUUAAUUUCCAUGACCAAAUGACAGGAGUCUGUUCUCGACUAGGCAUCGGAAAGACGAUACUUUAUUAUCAAACUCGAUCGUUUUCUAAUCCUAACUGCAGUUUCCUUGUCACAACCUCGAGUGUUUUUUGCCUGUCAUCUUCUUGUACAUCCUAGUUUGUCUUCCUUCUUGGUGAGAAGGUUAUCGCUUCAUCUAUCUUCAGCUUCAUGGAAUGGCAAUGAGAAAAUCUGAAAUAAGAUAAUAUUGCAUGUCGAAUUAAAAUCCUUUGCUCAAAUCUGCUGCUUGUAGCUGAGCAUUAUAAUUAUAACUUAAUUGGUGUGCUUAUGAUACAUAUUCAUGAUCGAGAAAUAUUUUACCGAAGGGCAUCAGAUAAAAGUUAAUGCAAACUACAUAUUCUAGUGUUUUGUACAUCUCGGUCCUCUCAGAUCACAUGCGAACUGUCGCAUUCCAACACAGCCCGAACGAGCUCGUUCCACAGUGAGACUCGCACGCUUCUUGAUGGUGAUCCAGCUCAGGAUUGCUUGGCCUGAAGCGAAGCUGUCGGUGCCCGUGUUCUGUACGUGCCACCCAUUCCGUCCUUCGAAUUCAUGUAGGCAACAGUGCGAAGCUUGUCUUCAGGUGGAUCAUACUAGAUUUAUAGUACUGAAUCAUGAGAUAAAUUCCUAUGUUUCGCUCCUCAUGAUGAGUAGGAUUUCAAGUGCAGGAGCGCUCGAAGGUGAUCUUUUUUUUUUUGUUUGUUUACUUGGAUGAUAAAGACUCGAGCUUAGCUUACUGGGCACGAAUGAAUGAAUGGAUUAUUUAGUCGAAUAGGCAGCUUUGCAUCACGCUUUUGUCGAGUCACUUAGUAAAACCUUGUGCAGUGUAUGUCCCCAUCUUUCUUCCACGUGAAAGCUGCAACCCUUGCAGACGAACUCUUUGAAUCCCACAUGACAUCCAUACCUCCGGUAGAAAACUUCUAAAUGCAUGCAGAGUUCGAUUGUGGAAGAAAUGCUGCAAGAUGUGCUACAUUUAUCCUGGAAUCAAUUAAAGGUUUCUCUAAUAGCAAGACAACAACAAAUUCUCACUACAACCAACCAGAAUCAGAUCCAUCAUAACAAUGCAGAAAGCCACUCUUCGGUGUUGUCUUCUUGGUUGGGGUUCAGGCAUAACCGCAGCUCCCAUAACCUGCAAAAGGUAAGAGAGAACAAAUGUGUGUGAGAUCUACAUGGGUGUCGUUCGAAUGGGGCACAUGAUCGGAGAUCUCACUUGGGUCGGUGGCGACCACGAGGCCGGAGUUCUUGAAGAAGCAGUUCCACGGGUUCCUUCCUCUGGACUGGUAGUAGAGGUUCAUGGCGAUGGAAGCGUGGGACAUGAGGUUGUCCGGGUAGAAGCACGUGCGGCCCCUCUGCAGCACGCUACAGUCCACCUGAGAGCAGGCGUAGUUGAUGUUUCCCAGAAGAGUUGCUUCGUCCGACGAAGGUUUCGCUACGCACCAAGUUUUCUGCAACAAAGCAACGACAACGUCUGCAUCGACUUCCAUGACAUGGGGUGGAAUGGACAAGACGAGCACAGUUCGGGAAGCAAAAUGCCGAACAACUACAGUUAGUGAGGCGCAUAAUUAGGUCCGUCGGUGUUACCUGCCCCUGCACCGACUGCAUUCCCCCUGUCAUCACAAGGUUUAGAGCAGAGAUCAGAAGAAGAUGGCGACAAACAGCGGCUAAGGGAUCAAGCAAGUCACGAGCUAACCUGUGGCGAAGCAGAUCAGGAGCAGCACAAAAGAGAGGAAGACGAAGGAGGGAGUUCUCGCGGCUCCUCUUGCCAUUUCUCUACCCCUUCUGUUUGCUGGCCGUAGGAGGAGGGAGGAGAUCGAACCUGGUCGUCUUCUUCAGCGUGGAAGCGAGACCGAGAGCGAGCUGUCGAUGAUGGGGGAUAAGAAAGCAAGCUCCCUGACCGGGCCCGGAGUGGGACCCGGUCAGAAACAUGUUAUUAGAGACCUACGAGUCGCGCAUACUCCACGUGGCCUACGUGUCGGUGGCCGCGCUGGUUUGGAUUCUCGGGCGAGCCCGACAAGAUUGCGAAAAGUGGGCCCCAGAGAAACGCCUCGUGACACGAUUUGGGUCCCGAUUCCGUCGCAUCUCCGAUGGCACCUCAGCUUAACGGACCUUUUCGCCUCUCUUCCCUCCGGCGAGCCACAGUGCAACCAAAAAGGAGGGACCGACUCUACUUUUUGCCCUUUGGGUCUCCUCAACGCUGUGAAGAGAACGAUGCUUCUUGUUCUGCGUACAUCACUGCUUUUCCAGCAUUCAUCUCUUCACAUGCCAUCACGUUGCCCUUCCACGGACCGUCCCGUGUUUCCUAGCCUUUGUCACGGUUCAUCCCCAGACAUUUCUGUGUGCCAUGUGAAUGUUCUCUGGUGCAGCAAAUUGCUGCAUUGGCUACUGAUAUCAUGUGCAGACAUUGCAAUCCUGAUAUCAUGGAAUCCACUGCCAAUCUAUACCUUGGUUCAUCAAUACGUACCCAAAUUUGUUGAACUGUCCCACAUGAGCAUGAAGAACACGAAAAUAAAUUAAUACACUUUUAAGAUUGCCAAAUCCACUUGCAUUUGAUUACAUCAUUAGUUCAAUGAACCAGUCUGAUAUACGAUUCUAUAGAAACGCAGAUGUCCGAAUAGUACAACAGAAAGUUUGAUCAUCAUGAGCAACCAUAUAGGUAGGUAAUUUCUUCAGAAGAACGAGGAACCAACUUAGGCGGAAACCUAAGACCCAAAUCUUUCUCUGUCGUGCGGAGAAGAAUAAUCUACACCGGGACCAACUGGAAUUAUCCCAAACGGAUUGAUAGAAGGAUGGCUUCCGUAGUAGUGCUUCUUUAUGUGUGCCAUAUUCACCGUGCUGCUCAUGCCUGGAAUUUGGUAUAUGUCUUUGGUGUAAUUGAACAAAUUUGGAUAUUCACGCAAUUGUUUUUUGUUGCACUUGAAAUGAACAGUAUAGACCUGUGGAAAUCACAUAUAGUUCAGUGAUCGAGUGGGCAUCCGAAAUAACAUACUAUAGUCUAAUGGCCUAAUUUGAUGAUGCUUUUUAAAAGUACAGUCGAUAGGUUGAAAACCAGAAAUCUAUCGAUACCAGUCAUAAACUAGUUUACAGAUACGAGAAACACGGAAGCAUAGUCAAUAUUUAUCCAGAUUCCAAUGCAAAUAAUAAAGCACCUUAGUAGACAUUUAAGACAUCAGAUUCAACAGUAUCUUAAUAAAAACAAAAGUGUCUUCCCCUGUGAUUAGAGCAACCUAUUGAAUCAGAACAUAAAUGUUUUGUUGAGGGUGUGCUUACAAUUCAAUCUAACUAUAAUUGGGGAAGAGAUGGCACUAGCCAUUCCACCAAAAGUUACCAGAUGAAGUUUCAUCUGUAGUUUCAAUGGUGUGAAAUUCAGAUGUGCCACUAAAGGUCUCACAUUGUCUUGUUUUUUAAUUUUUAUUGGUUUCAUGGCAAACAUAGCAAAGCUCCUUCCACCCUUCCUUGGUCCCAGAUAUCUUUGAACCCUUAGAUUUCCAUUUUGUCUCUUGUUAUGAGCCUAAAAGAUUUUCCUUUUUCGAGAUGGGUAUGCAAAUCACAUUGAUUAACACUGGGCCAAACAGAAUGGUUGUGGACAGGCAUUUACAAGAGCUCAGAUAGAUGUCUGUUCUGCUCAUAACUUUCUGAUAGAUGGAACAUUAGCAUACAAACAUGAUGAAUCAGACUAACAUUCUUUUGGUUUCUAAAGGUUAAGCAGAAUUAGUUGUAGUCCAGCUCAUUAAGGCCACAGGCCGCUAAGGUUCAUCCAUAUGUAUGGCCUUUGCCAAUAAGCUAAAUUCAAAUUUCCAAUUAGAAAAAGGAAUAUCAUUUUUUCCACCCAAAUGAGAAACAGCCACCUCCAUGGGUUAAUACUUUGAAGCCAGUGCAGAUAUUAUGGUUAAAACAAAUCAAACAGAUUUAGUCCUGUCUUCCUCACUGGUCAGUGUCAAGGUCACAUGGUUACAUCUUACUCCGGCUAAAAUUAAGUUUCUGACUAGUUAUAUCAUCUUAAAACUUGCUUUUGUCAAAUGCAUAGGACACUGCCUCAAAAUAUUCUCUUAAACAAGUCUUGCAAAACAAUCUGUGCACUGUACAAACAUCAAAAUAGGAACAAUCAGAUGCCUAAAGCAAUCAUUUGCUCACACAAAAAUCUUAUUUUGCAUAUUGAAUUCCAUAAAUUAUACACAAUUGAUUGUAUAUUCUAACAAAAAUAAACCGGAAAAAAGACAAAGCAUCAGCUCACUUUUCAUGAUGUUAGGCUGUGUUAAAUUUUGAGGUACAUACCUCAUCGAACCUGAUGAGAGUGACAAACAAGCGAACGUCAGCUUCAGUUAGCGUAUUCCCACAAAUAUAUCGUUGCUUGCUGAGAGUCUCUUCACAUUUGUCCAAAGCAUCAAAUAAUUUUUCAACGGCCUAGACAACCAGAAAGUAGUGAAAAGGCUGUUUUCAUGAUUUAAAGAUUGAUAGUCAUAUAAUCCACUUCAAGUGAAGGAAAAAAAAAAAUCAGUUGUAGUAGAUAGUUACCUCGUCAUAAGGACCUUGUUUCUUGGCAAAGCCACAUUUGUAUACCCCAUUAUUUAUCGUGUCAUAUAUCCAUUCGUUGACCUCAUCUAUCAAAGCUUGCAUAUGAGAUGGAUAUAAAUCCAGGUCUGCAUUCUCAGCUAUAUCGUUAAACUCGGUGUUGAACAUACGGAUUAUUUCUGCACUCUCAUUGCUCACAAUUGUUUUAAGUUUUUUAUCCCACAGAACCUGCCAAAUAAGAUAAAGCGAAAGGAAGGUCACUUGUUGAGUACACUGAAAGAAAAAAAAAAAAAGUAUAGUUCAAUAGACAGAAUACAUACAGGCACCGUAUAUUUCCCCAUAUAGUUUGAGCUAGCCAGCUCAUAUAAUUCCCUAAUACUUUUGGCUCCAUUCAAGGGAUCAGGUUCAGCUCCAGGUUCUUCUGUACUAGAAGGGAAAACCCAUCCAAAAUGUUCAUCGCUCUCCUUUGUCCUUUCCCAUAUUGGUUUGACAGCCUAUCAGAUGCAAUUGCUCAAAUGUUAUUAUAUAUUUUCCUAAGAUAAACAUUCCUCGGAUAUAGAGAGUCACCGUGUAACUGAUGGCCUUGUCAAGUCCUUUGAGCUUCACAAAUGAAAGACAUCUUGAUGCCCAAGGACAUGCAUAUGAUAUAUACAAGUGAUACCUUCCAGAUUCUGCAGGAAAUUGAGAAGUCUUGUCUUUUGAAAUAAAAUUGCGGAAAGUUGAUGGUGUGCGAUUGAAUGCACCAGAUUCUGUCAUCUCAUCUAAUGCUGAUCGAGCCAUCUUAAGAAUGUAAUGAAAGACAUAAUAUGGUCAAACAAGAAGUGGAAGAAUGUCGAAGAAUAAAAACCUCAUCCAGUAUACAAAAGUGUAACGAAAGUGAGAUGAGAGAAAAUAUUGACAUGUACAUCAAUCAGAAGUUGAUAGGAAAGCAUUAUAGGAUUUGUGAAGAGAAAAUAUUGACAUGUACAUUAUCCAGGAGUUACGGGUGCUGUCAAACCUUGAUAUAAAUAAAAAACAUAGCCCUAACUUUCACAAGGUUGCUUCGUAUUAGUAACUUACAUCCCAGCCAGCAAAACCCAACUAACACAGAAUGUGGUGUGUCAGGAUGCCUUCAGAAUGACAAUACACACUAUCUUAAUGAGACAGUUGCAAGAUGCUGAGAUGAGGCCCAGCACUCAAAACAUUCUGAUGAAUAAGAAGCAAAUAAUAGAGGUUCACAUUACAAUCUACUGCAUCUAUAUUUCAAGAGUUCUAUUACAAUUUUCAGGAGAUGCUUGAAAUUUAGUCUUAUUUAGUAGCUUUCUAUUGUUAAGUUGUAAAAAAAUUGAGUUAACUUUUAGAUGGCUUUUGGGUGGUAAAGUCAUGUCUGGACAUAAGACAACCCAAGUUAGAUAUGAAUUUGAAACACUAGAAAACAAAAAGACCUAUUUUUAUUAGUCGACACAUUUUGGUUAUGUAUACUUCUCGCACUUGAUCCCUGUUUAUUCCAAUUAUUGUAUAGUGUUGAAAAACAGGGUUCCAUACUAUAGACUUCCACCAAAUGGCACGGCACGUCAAAACACAACCAGAACAUAAGACACUGGGUCUGUAUCACAUAACCUUUCUCUAGCACUUGCAUUUACAUGUGGGAGAACAACCGCAAGGAUUUUAACUAUGAAAAGACCUCCCACAUAGCAAUGUCAACAACUCAAACUCAUAAUAUCCAAUGAAUUAAAAGCAAAACCCCUCGAAAGUAUAUUUUCUGCUUCAAGUUAGAUUGAUUAUAUGUUAUUACUUUAUCCAUCACAAUUAGGCAUAUAAACCUUAAUAGUAAUGAAUAUCCAUAGUGGAAGCAAAAUACAGAGAUGCUGCAGCAUUGUGCUGCUUCUACAAUUGGAAUUUUGAAAGAUGCCUCAGUGAUAGUAGCAAUACUCAAUAGAUGCUAGGCGUAAGGAAAGAAUUCUAAACCAUUUUAAGGCAUGAAAUCUAACUCAGUUUUUAGGGGUCUUUGUUCCCGUUCUAUGUUUGCAUAUAAAACAUAGAAUAAUUGCACUACUGAAAGUAAAUUUCUUGUUUGUAAUCUUUCCUUGAGCCAAUUGGAAAUUGUGAUAAGGAACGAUUUUACAUGAUGAUUGGUCUUGAUCAAAUGGAUCAGAGCACAUCAGAAAUUUAGUUGUUUAGUCUCGUUUUCUUGAACCCUCCCCUUCGUGUUCCAGCCUUUGCCCUUUUAAAACGAGCUUGUUCAAAUGAUCCCACUUGAAAAUCCUUUUACUCGAAUCCAUCGGCUAUUUGCUCAUCAUCUCCUUCUUCCACGAAUUCCAAAAUCAAGAGGACCCGUAUCACUCUAUACGAGUAAUCAACAUGGGCCAUCUGCCACAACGACUACAUAUGCCUCGACAAUUACCCUAAAUACCAACUUUCUAUACGAAUAAUAUGAAGGUCAUCUACAAAUCAAGAUCCAUAGAAGAUGAGAAAACAGUAACUUACACAUGUUAGUUCCAAUGGGAGAUUAGUAAGCAAGUAACGCUAGUAAAUUGGCAGGACGCAAUCGCUCAUACAAGCGGGAAAGAAGGGAUCUAAAUCGCACCUUGGAGGAGAAGGAUCGGGUGACGAUGAAGCGAGAACAGGACGAGAUCAUGCAAAGCCCCCCGACGCUGUCAUAAAUCUGUGGAACGGGAAAGUAGAAGAAACCUAAUCUUUCCACUGAUGGAGCGAGGGCGGCGACCGGGAUUGGUGCGUGACGUGGCGGUUGCCCAGCUCCAUCGCCGCCAGGUUGACUACCGGCGGUACGUGAUUCAACUGCUGCACGGCACGUCAUGGCAUAGCAUAGCGGAUCCAAAUCCUCUCCAAUUCUUACCCGUUAUGAACCCUCCGCUAUCGUCUAUAUCCGUGCUCAGCUGGUCACUUCCGCUGUCUAGGUUGAGGCAGGGAACAGUUUUAUCAGCCAUCAGCCAUCCGUCAAUCGUCAUCUUAUCGUUAAGUGCUGCGAACCGUGAUCCCUGGUCGCGACAGGUAAGCCUCAUCCCGUCAGACACAAAACCCAGGGCUACUUCAAACGCGACAUAAGUCACCGCUUCAAUCGCAACCGUUGAUGUGCCCGGCAAGUGGUGCGUGGUAAGGUCCGUCGGCUUCUCUGUGUGAGCCGCGACUUAGGUUUGUCAGAAAGGUCCUGUUUUGACUCGUGCCGGUGAGUUCUCCUUUGAUUGCGUUUAGCCGCAGAUGGGAGAGGCGUUCCGAAUCCCCCGCUAUCCUCUCCGCCUUCCAGCCGUCAAUCGGGUGGCUCAUGGAAGCUCCCUCUUAUGCAGAAAUGUCAUCUGCGUGGAGGUCUUGAAUUGGAUGCCUGUAUCUUUUUGUUUAUCUCACAAAACUAAGCUAUACAAACCACUGAGCUCUUGAGAACGUCCAAAAAAAAGAAAUUGAUCUUUUUACAGCUUGACAGUUCCUCCCAAAAAGAAAAGCUUCCUCAUCCAUAUUGAAAGUCGAUUCAGAUGUUGAUUGAUUUAUAAGAGUUAUUAAUUUGAGUUUGAGCAUUUUUAACUGUGCACGUUGUAGAUGGAUGUAUCAAAGUUUUGUACACGGAUGUAUAAACUUUGAUAGUGUUCAUUCACACAGUGUUUGAGGGAUACUGUGGGGAAAAUAAUAUCUCAACAUCUAAAUUGGAGAUAUAGUCAACAUAAAAUAAAAGAAAGAUAAAAUCGAUCGGAUUGCUACUCUGCCAAGAUGACGUUUCCACCAUUUUUAUUGGACCAGAGCAAGACCACAUCAUCUAAUUCAAGAUUUCUAGUUGCAUCUGGAAGCUUCUUCGCCCUUUGGCAGCGAGAACAGAUGUGUGGUAGCAAACCUCGGAGACACUGCGACCACCGAAAUCGACACAAGAUCCAACGAGUAUCUCACUCUAAGUUGUGGAUGAUGGACUGCCAGACGCUGGAACUCAUCCGCCACCUGAAACUUCAGUAGCCAAUCAAAACCAAGAUAAAGAUUUCCAUGGAUAAGGACUCCCAUCCCCUCUUCUGCUAUUAAACCCCUGCAGCCAUCACCUCUCACAGCAGGCACUCCUCCAAGGCUUUUCCUUCUACUUCACCACCCUCUCCCUGAUCCAACCAUGGCUGCCACAAUGGCCCUCUCCUCCCCCUCCCUCGCUGGUAAGGCCGUCAAGCUCGCUCCCUCGGCCUCCGACAUCCUCGGCGAAGGCCGCAUCACCAUGCGCAAGAGUGCCGCCAGGUCCAAGCCCGUCUCCUCCGGCAGCCCCUGGUACGGCCCCGACCGCGUCAAGUACCUCGGCCCCUUCUCCGGCGAGCCCCCCUCCUACCUGACCGGUGAGUUCCCUGGCGACUACGGCUGGGACACCGCCGGCCUCUCCGCCGACCCCGAGACCUUCGCCAAGAACCGGGAGCUGGAGGUCAUCCACUGCCGCUGGGCCAUGCUCGGCGCCCUCGGCUGCGUCUUCCCCGAGCUCCUCGCCCGCAACGGCGUCAAGUUCGGCGAGGCCGUCUGGUUCAAGGCCGGCGCGCAGAUCUUUAGCGAGGGCGGCUUGGACUACCUCGGCAACCCCAGCCUGAUCCACGCCCAGAGCAUCCUCGCCAUCUGGGCCUGCCAGGUCAUUCUGAUGGGCGCCGUCGAGGGCUACCGUAUCGCCGGUGGCCCGCUCGGCGAGGUGACCGACCCCCUCUACCCCGGCGGCAGCUUCGACCCCCUCGGCCUCGCCGACGACCCGGAGGCGUUCGCAGAGCUCAAGGUGAAGGAGAUCAAGAACGGAAGGCUGGCCAUGUUCUCCAUGUUCGGGUUCUUCGUGCAGGCCAUCGUCACAGGGAAGGGGCCGCUGGAGAACCUGGCGGACCACCUGGCGGAUCCGGUGAACAACAACGCUUGGGCCUACGCCACCAACUUUGUCCCCGGGAAGUGAGAGGACAUGCAUGCUUCAGCUCCCCCUAUCAUUUCCCACCGAGU